rnacentral:lncRNA from 1 species
AUUUUAAAAAUGAAACACAGGCACUUGACGGUGUGUAUAGAGCCUCAAGUUCUUGCAUGACAAUCCAAUAUAUUCAACAGAAGUAUACUCCCUCCGUCCCAAAAUAAAUCAACUUUCAGAGUUAUCCAAAAAUUGGUCAAACUUAAGACAGUUUCCCUUGGGUGAUUCUAGGAGUUGAUUUAUUUGUAAAGGAGGGCUACUUCAGAAUAUCCAAAGUAUAUGCAGAAAAAGAGGAGCACAUACCUCCGGCCAGCUAAAACUUUGGCCAUGUUCCCAUUAUUAUUUGUAACAAAGACAUCACUCUCAUCACAAACAAUGAAGUCAAUUGCAGCCAGCCGUGAAGAAAAAGGAAGGAAGGGAUUCAAAUCAUCCCCAGCAAGUUUCUCCUUAGUGUAGAAAUUUGGGAAGAGUUCCCUAAGAGGUUGGAGAGUUUCAUCUCCACCAUAUAUUUCUCCAGAAGCAACAUACAGAAGUGUAUCAUUGUCAAAACCAAGAGCUCGGAGCAUUAACCCAACUUCAUGUGGAGUCAGUGGGCAUUUCCCCCUGCUGCGUUCCUCUUCAGCACUCAACUCCUGUUAUUAAUCAAUGUAAAAUCAAUCCAUCGCUCAAAACUUAAAUCUGGUGACACAAUCUGCCAAACAAUGAUUUCAACUUUCAUAGAAGGAUGAAUGUGCGAUUAUAUAAUUUGGUGCAUUUUUAGGACAUAUAAGAAAGACAUAAGUCACAUUCAAUAACAAGGAAAAGCAAAUAAAAUGGAAAAAAUAAUAAUUAUAUACCAGUGGCAGACUAGUAUUUGGACUUUUGGAGAAUAUACCAUAGGGAAAUCUCACCAAGUUUCAAGAGUCUUACAGGUAAUGUAUCCCAUCGUUUCCUAAUUUCACCCAAUUCCUUUCUUUCUUUUUCACCGCCACCGUAGUAACAGCCAGAAAAUGCAAGCAUGUCAGGUUCAAACCUGAUGAACAAGCAACAGUUAUGCUCAAAAAUUUGUACUUUCAUGGUUAAUCAUAACUUUAAUUAUCAAAAGUCGCAUUGAAUUAUCAUAAACAACCAGAGUUUACCUCAAAUGAAUGGCGACAUAUCGCGUGUUCAUGAGUCUCAGCUUUUGAACAAGUUUUUGACCCAUGGCGUGUAUAGAACUCGUGAAUUUCAAAGCAUGAAAAUUUACUCGGCAACGCAACUUUUGCAAAUCUUCAUCAAGAUCGCUACUGAGUCUAUAAUCAAACUUUGUUAAUUGCAAAGCCUGAAAAGAUUAAGACUGUUCAGUCAAUAGGAAAGUACUGUCUACUUUUCAUUUGUCUACAGUCACUUCAUACUGAGAUUUUUAUUAUGAUGAAUACACAUAACAAAAAUCUUCAAAAGGAAAUUAUAAUAUAUGCUCGUGUUCAACCCAAAGGGCCACAAUGGAACCAUGCAACAGAUAAACUAUUGUAUAUAAUAAUGAACCGUUCAUCUUAACACCCACCCAUCCAAAAUAUUGUAAUCAAACAGGACACUUAAAAUGGAACAAAUUGAUAACUAAGAUGAUAUAACUGACAUGUCUUCCUUGCACAUGAUAUAUCACUACAUAGACAGGCAGACAGCAACUAGGAAGAAAAAACAAGUAUGCACUAUAUUACUAUAAAAAACAACAUGGAACAUAAGUUUUCAGACCAUUACACAGGUCUGACAGGUUACUUACUCGCCUUCGCAUGAGUAUUGGCAAAACUUCAUCAAUGUAAAACUCAGGCAUUGAUUUCCUAGGUGCACGCAUGGUCCACGGUAGUUUAUCCAUUGACAUCAUUACUUCAUAAGGGAUCCUUUUGACAAUACUUACAUCCUUUGAUAGGUAGGAAAUGAACCAAUCCACGUCAAAAAUAUCAGAGAAGUCACUGCAUACGAAAUUUGAAGUCAAGCCAUUUUGGAACAGUAACAUUCAGAAAACGUCCUCUAAUUUCCAGUUUCCAAUUCACCUGUCAUCCUUCCAGAAUGAGUGGUGGUCUAACUCAGGUACAACAAGUGUGGCAUUCAAAAUCCAGGCAACUACAACAGCAUCUGUUAUCUGCAAACUGAACAUCAUAAAGGUAACACAAGGGAUGAUAGAAACAAAGCAACCAGACCUUGGAAGACAAUCAUACCCCUAUGCGCUGCUGAUUCAGGCCCCCGCUUGUAGCUAUCAACAAGUAACCAGUGGAACUGUUCUCUGGCACAGCAGCUGAAAGAUGAACAUGGAAAACCAGAUUGUCAUUUUUUUUCCCACAGUUUUAGUUCAAGAAAGGAAGUGAGUAACUAUACAAACUAACAUCUGAAAUCUGCGCUUCUCCCACUGCAUCCAUAGUACAUGCUGGAAUACUUGGAUUCCCAAAUAUCGAUAGGCUCGUAGUUUCUAUGCUGCAUAUUUUCAGGGUUGUAAAUGGUCAAGUGGUAUUCGGUAAUUGCCAAGGAAGUUGAGAUAAUAUUCAGAUAUAAAGUACGUAUAAAAGACAGGAGUACAGGCAGAACUUGCAGAAUAUGGUAACAGAGAACAUUUAGUUAAGGCACACAAAAAAUAGAAUUUCAACAACAUUUCUGGUGAAACUUCACAUUGCCAGAAAAUACUAAACUCUUGCACUCAAUUUCUCAAAUAGUCCCCAAGUCCUAACGAUGUGGCAGGUGUAGCCGUCAAGUGGCCCAAAACAUAACUUUCUUCUUCCACCUCUAUCAUCAGAGACCACGCAACGACAAAAUUCCGUGGAAUUAGACAGUGGAGCAGUCAAGUCUCCAACAAAUUUACCUGCUUGGAUCGCCACCGACUCCGGAUCCGCGCCCAGUCAGCGUCAGUGACCACGUGUCCCGUAAAGAGGGACACGAACCCUAGAACGAACAGCGCAGUUCCCAGGAACACCGGAGAAGGCGGCGCCUUCCUCGCUGCCCUCGGCGAGGAGGCGCCGGCGCCGCCGCCACCGGAGUAGUACGAUUUGGCUGCCGCGUCAGGCUUCCUCCCCAUGACGCGCCGCACCCGCACCAGCUCGAGCGCCUAGAGCACAAAAUCUCGGCAUACAACGCCCAACCUCCCUUCAGGGUAGCUGGCGCCGGCGUGCUAGCCACCCGCACUAGAUCGUGGAGGCGCAGACGUCCAUGGCGACGGGAGGAGGAGGCAGUCGCGUCCGCGUGUGAACGCGACCGGGGUCUGGACAGUGUGGAUGGAUUGUGACGAUGCAACGAAGCGUACGUAGGCGUGCUGGGCUGAGCUUUAUUAAUGGGCCGUCAGUUAGUUGGUCCACAUUCCGCUUGGCCCGUCGUUUCCUGGUUUCUUUCUACAUGGGCCUCUUCGUUCGAUACCUGAAUGAGGCCCAUACAAACACCUAGACUGACAGGCCGGAUAACGUGAGACACAGGCUCCUCACGUAAGUUUUUCUGGAGAAAAAGAAAAGAAACGAAUUCCACCUUGUGUCCACGGUAGUACCUCUCAAGCUGAUUUUGCCGUAUGGCGCCCUGGGACCGUACCAUCACCGUUCACCGGAGGAAACAGCAUCACUGUUGCCGAUCAUCGAUGGCACCCAUGUGACCUGUGGCCCUGCCACGGCUGGCGACCAUAACAACCAACAGGACAAAGGGGGUCGAGGCACUGCAAAUAGCUACGAGCUGCUCCACCACGGCGCCCCGGCCAAACCAACCGGCAGAGGGCCGGGGGGCGGGGACACAGCACUAGAGCAGGCAGGCUCACACGCUAACCUACCAAACGAACAGCUCGACUACUCCGUCCCAAACGACAUCGGCAAUCAUCCAGCCAGGUCACGGGGUGCGUGUCAGCGGGAAUUGAAAACGAGCGCUGCACCUGCACCCUGCACUGGGCUGCAUGCAUGCAUGGCCGGCCCCGUUGGCAGUCAGUACAGGAUACGAGCACGGCUUGCCAAGCACGUACGUACGUACGUACUACUCCACCACUCGUACAGGCAGCAGGGUACUGGGCACAACGCAACAGCAGCCUCGCCCCGAGCCAGCAGGGAACUGCGCCGCAGCCAGGAAGCCGCCAAAAUAGGGGUACCCGUACGUAUCUCCCCCAACGCCCAACACGGAGAUAUUAUUUCCCCCAAAGCGCAGACAUACCCCCCAUUUCCCCGCCAAUCGGGCAUGGCCCGGGCUGUAGCUGACACUGACAACUGGACCGCGCCGUACGGGCCCCGCAGGCCGGCCUGCUGCGUGCGCGUACGCCCGGCCUGCCCCCCGCGCCAGGCUUUUUUUUUCCCGCUGCGCGGUCGCUGUUCGACGCUAACCAUUGACAGGUGGGGCACAGUAACUCCUGGACCCACGAGUCAGCGGGUGUGCUCUGCAGUGGAUUUUGGUACGCGAUGCACAAAAUCUUUUGUGGCGUCUGGUUCCGGAUAUGGGAUCUUUCAAGCAAGUGGCAGGGCCGCUUGUUUUCUCACCGUUGCCUAGGUAGACCUUUUACGAUGACGCUCGGGACCCACUCGCCGAACCCCACCUGUCAUCGGUGUUGGUGUAUGUCCUCAGUUCCAUUCGGGGUGAGCGACGGAGCGGGGCGUAUAGUCACACAGCGCGCAGCCUUUAUUGGGCGUGGCAGUGAUGCCACGCCCAGCAGCCGCGGCGGGACCCGCCUCGGAUUGAACUCAUCAAUGACACAUCUCCAUGUGGCCGCGGCCCACCGUCACGAGAGAGAGAGAGAGAGAGAGACUGGCUCGUGGCCCCACCACCGCCCUGCGCGGCUCCCUGCCCCCGCUAGCUGUCUCAGUAGUGCCUGACGGGAGAUCCCACAUGUCAGUACAGGCCAGGCGCUUGCUCCAUGCUCCCCACCCCGCGAGUCUGCCUGGCUGCGUGGCUGCCUGCUCCUCCCCGGGAGGCUCGCCUCGCUUCCUGAUUGCUUUAUAUGGGGUGCCACGCCACGCCAGUGCGGGUAGCAUACCGGCUGUACUUGCAGCAGCAUCCACCGCCGCCGCCGCCGCCACCACCACCGCCGCUUUUGCCACUUUGCCUUCUUGCCGGGCGCGCUAGUUUGUCGUGAGCCCUGAACGACUCGCGCGCGCCAGCCGCAGGUAGUAGAUGGAAGGAAACGGUGGCGCUGGCGGCGGCAGCGGAAGCGCGGCACCGCCCUGGGAUCUCGCCAUGCACUGGGCUCCCUCCGCCGGCUCGUCCUACCCGCAGCAACCCUUGGCGCUGCGUCCUGGCGGCGUGCCCAGCAGCCAGCUCCAGCUGCUGCACCAGCAGCAGCAGCAGCAGCAGCAGGAGCUGACCUGCCUGAAGCUGGGGAAGCGGCCCGCCUGCUGCUGGGCCGGGGCGGCGUUGGGCAGCCAAGUGGUGGCGGCGCAGGCUGGCGCGGGCCUGCCGCAUCAUCUCCACGGCAAUGGCGGCGGCGCCGCCGCUGGUUGUGGUGGUGGUGCGAGUGGGAAAGCUGCUGAGGGUAAGAGGAAGGAGAAGCAGGCGGCGGCGGCGGCGCCGGGCGCGGCGGCCGUGCCGAGGUGCCAGGUGGAGGGGUGCCACGUGGCGCUGGCGGACGCCAAGGACUACCACCGGCGGCACAAGGUGUGCGAGGCGCACUCCAAAGCGCCCCGGGUCGUCGUGCUCGGCGCCGAGCAGCGCUUCUGCCAGCAGUGCAGCCGGUCGGUACAUUAAUUUUAGCUCGACUAUGAAAGGUUUUUUAGGAGUCGAUCGUGGCAACCUUUGAAUUGAAUUGAUAAGCACAUACGCGAAACGACGUCCCGUGCAGGUUCCACGCGAUCUCGGAGUUCGACGAAGCGAAGCGGAGCUGCCGCCGGCGGCUGGCCGGGCACAACGAGCGGCGGCGGAAGAGCAACGCCAGCGAGGCCAUGGCUAGAGGCGCUGCGCACCCACACGGUACGUGUACGUCCGUCCGUGGAUCCGGAUGCUUUUUUGUGUCCAGGAUGUGAAAAUUAAAGUUGGGCAGGGACCAGCGGUAGUUGUUGGUUUGAUCACGGAGUACAGGACUGUAGUUCCUCAAAAAAAAAAAAAAGGACUCGCAGGGGUAGUUUGGUUUGAUGCCGGGAAACAUGGAGAAGCUGCUGCUGGCAAGGCACGAAAGGCUAGUCCUCGGAAUGUGCGACGUGCAAAGCCCGUUAGGGCACGGAUUUUUACGCGUGCCUUUACGUGCACCUGCGGCCUGCUAGACUGGUGUCUGGUGUCCGAUGAGUCGGUAAAUAGGCCGACCGUGCUAUGAUCACUUCACGGUAGAACGUCUCACAGUGGGGCCUUGUUUAGCUCACCCCAAAAGCCAAAAAAUUUUCAAGAUUCUCCGUCACAUCGAAUCGUACGACACAUACAUGAAACUUUAUAUUUAGACGAAAACAAAAACUAAUUACACAGUUUAUCUAUAAAUCGUGAGACAAAUCUUUUGAUCCUAGUUAGCCUAUAAUUGGACAAUAUUUACCACAAACAAACGAAAGUGCUACAGUAUUUCGAAAUCUUUUCAGAACUAAACAAGGCCGGGGUAAAAAAUUUCAGCCACAGUAGAACGUCUCGCAGUUUGGGAAUCAGUCGGGACUACUGUCCAAAUGCAAGAGCUAUUGGAUUCACGGUUCGCGUCCGUAGCCGUACCUAAGGCCUUGUUUGCAUAAUAUAAAUAGUACCACUUUUGUUUGUAUUUGACAAAUAUUAUCCAAUCAUGUACUAAUUAGACUCAAAAGAUUCGUCUCGUCAAUUCCGACCAAACUGUACAAUUAAUUUUUAUUUUUGUCUAUAUUUAAUAAUUCAUGCAUACGUCUAAAUAUUUGAUGUGACAAGAAAUCUGAAAAAUUUUGCAAAAUUUUUUAGGAACCAAACAAGGCCUAAACAUCUGAUAUAGGAGAGCUAUAUAAACUAUUACAAGAAAUAGUUAGAAAAGAUGUUAUUGUACAUUAUUAUAAAAAAAAACACGUAGUCUUCAUUGAAGAGUAGUUCGGUAGGUUUCGGUGGCUGCUGCUGUACUUCCCCUGUCUUCAAUCACUGUAACGGCAUGCAGCGGCUGCCGGCUGCAGCAGCUAGCAUGCUCAUACGCGUACGUACCCCGUAGUUUGGUAGGUGUACGUAGGCUGGUACGCACGUAGGAACAAGAACAGCCAAACUUGGCACAGCGUAUCUACAGUGCACAGUACUCUGCUGCUCCUUUGCGAACGAAUCUAGGACUGAGCGUACGUGUACCAAGGUACAGUUCCCGGGCGAUUUUUUUUUAGACAUUAGCAUUUUCGUUUAUAUUUGAUAAUUAUUGUCUAAUCAUAAAUUAAUUAAGCGUAAAAGAUUAAUCUUGCAAAUUACAGACAAAUUAUGUAAUUAGUUAUUUUGUAUCUAUAUUUAAUACUCUAUGUAUGUGCCGAAAGAUUAGAUGUGAUACGAAAUCUUAAAAUUUUUUUGGUUUUUAGGAGGAACCAGGCCUUAAUCUACUUCUGCAGCUUGUGCUGGGUCUUCUUGUCGAUAAUUUUUUUCCUUGCGGCACUGCUACUGUAGCUUGUUUGUAUUCGAAAAUUAUUAUCUAAUUAUAGACUAAUUAGGCUUAAAAGAUUUGUCUUGCAAACUACAAACAAACUGUAUAAUUAGUUAUUUUUUUAUCUAUAUUUAGUGCUUUAUGUAUGUAUCGCAAGAUUCGAUGUGAUGAAGAAUUUUGAAAAGGUUUUGGAUUUUUAGUGUAAACAAGACCUUAGUUCAGAUUCUUUCCGAACUUCAUACUUGCAACUAUUAUACCCUCUACAUCCUCAAGGCCUUGUUUAGUUCUUAAAAAAAAUUUGCAAAAUUUUUCAGAUUCCCCGUCACAUUGAAUCUUGUAGUAUAUGUAUGGAUCAUUAAAUAUAGAUAAUAGAAAAAAUUAAUUGCACAGUUUAAUUGUAAUUUGUGAGACAAAUUUUUUAACAUAGUUAAUCCAUGAUCGGAUACAGUGUUUAUUUUAAAAAAAAUUAAGAACUAAACAAGGCCUCAAGUAUAAAGUACCUUAAAACUCGGAGCUUAUUAUACUAUAAAAACCGAUUACAUUGGCUUCGCAUUUAAAAUAUUUUCUAUCCUUAUGUAUGCAGGAGUGACGGCUUUCGGCCACGGCUUCCUGCCACCGUGCGGCGGCCUCUCGGGGUCCUCGGCUGGUGCUCUCUCUCUUCUGUCAUCAGCCAGAAGCGGCGCGACGAGCGCCGCCCCCUGGCAGGUCACGACGUCGGACAUCUCUGCGCGCUCCAGUGCGGCGCUCGACGACCUUAUCGCCGAGAACCGCGCCGCACUCCUCGCGUGGCAGUACUUCUCGGACCGCUCGUCGUCGGCGCCCGGCCGCCAUUUUGCCUCUUCGUCGUCGACGGCGACGGGUUGCGCCCUCCCGCCGGCCGACGAUCAGCACGCAGCAGCCAGCUGGCGCCCGCACCCCCACAGCGGCGUUGGCGGUGGCCGGCACCACAUGGCGCCGCCCGGUGUGUGGCACACGACGCUGGACCUUAUGCAGACAGCAAGCUCCGCAGCUCCGGCCACCUCCACCGGCGCACCGUUCCGGCCAGUGCCGGAGAGGGCGGGCGCCAGGCCUCGCGGUAAGAGCAAGGACGGCGACGACGCCUCAGGAUGUAGCUUGGACGCGUGGGCACCCGCGGGUGGAGCUCGUGUGCUGUGAUCUGAUCUCGCCGUGCAAUCAGCGAAGGUGAUGGCCAAUUGCUCCUUGCCUGCCCGGCCUGUGGCCGGUGUUGCGGUGCCUGGUGUGCUCCAUGUUCCCAAAGGAAUGUGUAAUCCAAUGUACUUCAGCGUGUGCUUUUGUUAAUGAAUCAAUGGUGUUUAAUUGUUGGUUCGCCGUCAAGAAAAUUCAUGUUUGAAUUUUCUGUCUAUGGCCUUAUUUAGUUCCAAAAAAAUUUAUAAAUUUUUUCAGAUUCUCCGUCACAUCGAAUCUUUAGACACAUGCAUGAAGUAUUAAAUAUAUGCGAAAAUAAAAACUAAUUGCACAGUUUGGUCGGAAUUGACGAGACGAAUCAUAUAAGCCUAGCUAAUUUAUGGUUAGAUAAUAAUACAAACGAAAGUGUUACAGAAUCGAUUUUCCAAAAUUUUUUGAAACUAAACAAGCCCAUAAAAUGCGGGGUUCCCUAUGGUCCAAGGCAUGUGCAUGCCGCGUGUAGUGCCACAGUGCCACCUGCUGUGGGAAUAAAAUGUAAAUGGCAGGAGGGUAAUCGCAUGAAUCAUUGCUUGCAUGGACCGCAGUCCGCAGCCCACCCGCGUGGACUGGGCUAGGAUUUGUCGCAACCCAGGCCUAGGUUACAGAAGACAUGAACAACCAAAGUCCCAAAGUGAGUUAAUCAGUAUCCACUCAAAAAAAAAGUUAAUCAGUGAAGGGAAAUAAUAAAUGUGGAUGGGAAAAGAAAGAGGGAGACGUAUCAGCAUAUUUUUUUCAAUUACAGCUGCUCCCUCCAUUUUCCUCAAAAAAAAACUACUACCUCCAUUCUAAAUUAUCAGACGUUUUAGCUUUUUUAGAUACAUUGCUAGACAUAAUAUAUCUAAAUGCAUAACAAAAGUUAUAUAUACAUCUAGAAAACUCAAAACGUAUUAUAAUUCGGAAUGGAAGGAGUACUAUAAGUUGUUUAGAAAGUCGAUGCAUAAGAGGUUGAACUUUCACUAACAACUUUAGUUAUGGUAUCGCAAAUAAGGGUUUGUAUGUUAUGAAAUUAAUUUUUAUCAUGAAUAUAAUCCUUCUAAUAUUUCACAUAUUUGUUGAUGGUCAGAGUUGAAAAUUUGACUAACAUGAAUCCUAAAACAACUUACUCUGGCAUGUCAUAUUGAUGUUCUUAAAUUGACUAACAUGGACCCUCUAUUUAAUUAGCUGCAGAUGUAUGCAUAUGAUGAAUAUCACCAACAGAGUUCAGAUCCAGAAAAAAAAAAUGAAGUUAUGAGAAUCAAAUUACCAAAAGGGGGACACAAGAAUGACAUGCCUUUUCUCCACUUUAUUUUUGAAUGCCCCCCCCCCCCACCUCCAAUUUAGAUUUAGAUACUACACACAACUUGUGGUACAGAUUUACAAACCUAUGCAUUAUACUAACACGUGAGCACAAAAAGAAUACAAUUAAAUAAUGAAUAUCAUCAAAUUCAGUAAAAGAGAGAAUAGUAGUAGAUGCCGAAUGAGUGAAUGACACAAUUCAUUACGGAGUACACAAUUCAUUACGGAGUACUAUAUAUGUAGGCUGAGCCCAUGACAGACAAUAAUAUAUAAUUAAGGGGAUGUUUGGUUGGGGUGUUAAAUUUUAAAGAUAAAUAUUUUUGUUUUAUAUGACAAUGUCCAAUCGUAGACUAAUUAGGUUCAAAAAAUUCGUCUCGCAAAUUAUUCUAUAGUUAUGUUUUUAGUUUUAAAAAUAAUAUAUAUUUAAUACUUUAUACAUAUAUUUAAAUAUUUAAAUAUUUAAUAUAUAUAUAUAUAUAUAUAUAUUCGAUAUAAUUGACGGUAAAAACCAAAUAGGGCUUAAGAGAUGUUCUUCCUUUAGGACUCAUGGGAACCAAAGAAUGAACGCCCGUGGCGUGCACCAGUGUGUAGUUAGACUAUCUCCAACAAUUGUUACCCAAAAUACAAUACUCAUUUGUCCUUUAGGUAGCGCUACAGGUAAAAAGUUCCAUACAUAUUUUUAGUCUUCUCCCAUAACAAGACCUAAAAGACAACACUCUCUGCAAAUAGGUCUCAAGGAGAGAGGAUACCCAAAUUUGGGUUAUGCCUCUCCUGAUAUCCAAAAUGGGUCUUCUGUAUGGGUACUCUGUUGGAGGCUAUAGGUAUUGUGUUGGAGACCCAUUUUGGGUUUGGGUUCCCAAAUAGGUCUCCUAUUGGAGAUAGCCUUAGCACACGAGAUCUUAGCUUAAAGAAGUUGUAGAAGUCUGCGUAAUAGUAAUCCGCUACGAUUGUGUCACUGAAGUACCACUACAGUGUGGCUAAUAAGCGAUGUGACAGCAACCUACUACCUCGCUGGACAAUCUAAUCGAUCGAUCUGGCUUAGCACGAUCAUUGCUUUUCCAGAAAGCACUUUAAAGUACAGUCAGAACAAAAGGCCCAAAACAGACCAUAGACCCUGUUCGUUUUUCUUAUAUAUCGUAUUUUUUAUCAGCUAAUAAUAUUUUUUUAUAAUAAAUCAAUAAACAAUACUUUUAGUCAUGACUUUUCAUAUAUAAGAACAUACUCUAAGCAACAUGCCCCAGUACCCAUCCAUCUCAAAACAGAUGUCACAUUAUCUAUAAAUCUAGACAAACAUUUAUCCCCAUUCAUAUAGCUAAAAUGCCAUUUCUUUUUUAGACAUGGAGGGUAUGCAUGGCCAAUAUUAAUAAUUAAUAAUUUUUAUAUAUGAAUAAGAUGCUUAUUUAUAUGCUGCAACAAUACGGUAUUGAGGGCAUAUGCUCUCACUCUCUCACUCAUUGAAUCUGCUUUGAGAAAUGUGCAACCACACAUCUCAAUAUAAUGCGAAACUGUUUUGAGAUGUGUGUUUGUACACUUUUCAAAGUGAAUCCAAUAAGUAGAAAAGUGAGCGUAUCGUGUCCUUGAAGGAAAAAAAAACGGCCUUCGCAACAAUACCUAAUUUUUUAGACAUGGCUUGUUGGUCCAGUGUUCACUAACACUGGACAGGUCUAUCCAUGCCGGUGUCUUGCAGCUGACAUUACUAGUGGUAGUGGGUGACACGAAUACUCACGAUCAAUGCCGCUUGAAAUCAUCUAGAACUAAAUGGCCUCGUCUUUGAAAAUGGAUUUUACAGUAAGAUCCUUAAUUUUAUUUUGUGAGCCCCAUAUACUCCCUCCGUCCUAUUGAGAAUAUCAUUUUUGACUUUUAAGUACCCUAUUUGACCGUUCGUCUUAUUAUUUUUUAUAUAAAUUAUAAAAUAAAUAAAUUAUUAUUAAAGUAUACUUUAAUGAUAAAAUAAGUCAUAAAAACGGUCAAACAAGAUGAUAUGGAGUCCAAAACGUCACUUUCAAAGGGACUGUGGGAGUAGAUCCCAUGUGAAACAAGUUUCCGCCUAUUAAAAAUAACCCUAACACCUCAACAAGCUUUCGUCAUCUCCGUUUUCUUCCAUAAUUCAUAGGACCUGUUUGGAUCCUAUAGUCUAAAAUUUAGUUGGUUAAAGUUAGGGGCUAUAAUUUUAGACAAAUUUAGUUCACUUGUGUGGUCUAUUUUUUUAGGUUAGCUAAACAAAAUGUUUAGACCUUCCAUUUGGAGCAUCAAAGGCUAAAGUGAUAUAAAGUUAAGUGACAAAACUUUAGACAAUAGGAUCUAAAAAAGCCUUAUAUACUGUCACACACCAACAUCAUCCACAGGUCUCCCUCACCCAAAUCCGAUCCAAUGCACACUUGUUGCAUGUGCCACUGCCUUGGUACCGUCGUGGUUGUUGCCAUUCAUGUUGGUGUUAGCAUCAUUGCUGAGGAAGCAGAAGUGGACCGGAGGCUGAGGUGACUCUCCACACCCUAGUUGACGCCUACUCUCGACCCCCCCCCUUCUCAUAAGGGUGGAGCACUCGACACCUGGGCCCCUUUCUCUCCUCCAAGUGUAGACGACUAGCAUGGUAGAUUCAAUAUCAGCUUGGAUAUUCCCCUAGAUAAAACAUUAUGUAUAUAUUAAGUAAUACACACCAUUAUUACAAAAACAAUUUUCUAAGAUGUCUCUUUUUUACUAGAGGUGGUUUCAUAUAAACCAAGCUCCAGAAAUCAUUGAUUUCUAAAGACCCAUGAAUAGAGGUUGUUGGGGCCACCGCCUCUACAAAUUGAUUCUUGCUGCCUCUAUAAUGCACUUUCAUAGUAGUGCACAUUUGUAUAUGUUGGUUGACCUUGUUUUCUUCAUUUCUUGUCAUUCACUUGUCAAAAACCAUGGUCUAGCCUCUCCACGCCACACUCUAAUAGGACUUCUUGGCCCAACUGAACUGACAUUCACCAAAUAGCUUACUAGCCAGGAUCUUCCUUAGCCCCUCAAUCAUACUCCUUCCAUCUCAUAAUAGAUGACAUUAUGAUCGAGAUGCGCGUUGGUAAAACUUUCUUAACUUUGAUUAGAUUUGUAGAAAAAUACGCAUAAUAUUUAUAUAUCUAAAUAGAUUUAUUAUGAUAGUAUAUUCACCAAUCUAUCUAAUGAUAAUACUUAUGUAUUAUAAAUAUUAUUAUUCUUUUAUAAUUGGUCAGAAUUUAAAAAAAGCUAACUUCUCGGAAGCGAGAAUGACUUCUAUUUUGAAACAAGGGAGUAUCGCAUAUGGGUAUAUCUAUGUCGUGUGCAUCUGUCACCCUUUGCCCACCCCUAAUCCUCUUGUCUCUCCCAAGUCCUAAUCUCCAUAUUGAACCUUAGGCUAGUCCCCAACCUUACACACCAACACAUGACAAACGCGGUGGCGUGUAUUCAAUGGUAGACUGCUUUGGUUUAGGAUCAGAAUACCCAACUCUGAGAUCUUAAAUCUAGCACUGGUGGCCAAGACGUACUAUAGAUUGAAACAGAGGGAGUAUCGCAUAUGGAUACAUCUACAUCGUGUGCAUCCGUCACGCUCUUGUCUCUCCCAAGUCCUAAUCCCCAUAUUGAACCUUAGGCUAGUCACUAACCUUACACACCAACACACAGCGGGCAUGACAACACGGUGGCGUGUAAUCAUUGAUAGACUGCUUUGGUUUAGGAAUGCCCAACUCUGAGAUCUUUUUUUUCGCGAUCGGCGUAUAUAGCCCAUUUUUCAUUAAGCAGAGAGAAUUACACGACACAGCUAUGAGAGAAGACUAAGGCAUGUUAUGUGCCAGCGGUGGUGAGUGACCCACCGGUGGCCAAGACUAAGGCAUGCUACGUGCCAGCGUGGCGAUGGCCCAGGAUGUAAAAUCUAGUUAUUAGUUACUGCAUGAAGUCCACUCUUGAGUAUAUGAAGAUUUUGUAACUGAUGAGUAGCAUGCAUGGAACACUUUCUUGGACUAUUUUUGUAUCUGUUUUGUACAAUUGAUUCAUAACAAAGGUAAAUUAUUAGUCGUCCUCUCUUUGUAGAUCAAUUGGUCUGAAGCUGAUGUGGGGCUAAAUUGUAAAUUAAGACUAUAGUAGCUAGCUAUCGCUACUCCUCUCUUCUGUUUUAGAACAAACUAAAUGAGAAGAUAAUUGCAGUGUGACGCGAGAGAUGAAUAGUAAGAGAGGAGUAGCGAACAAUUGACAGAAAAAAAAGCAGGGAUAUAGCUAGCUAUCGCUGCUAUUUAUCUCUAGCCAGCUAUACUCUAAGCAGGCCAUAUACUAGUGAUGAUUCAAGAUGAAGCAAACUCUCUGGCCAAAUCGUGAUCAAUUGAAGAACAAUAUAUUCUUCUCAAGUUUCACCGCACCGAAUCAAUCAAUUAGAAAUAAACACAUGAACUUUUAAUUUGUUUUCUUUUUGGUAAAUACUAGUAAUUGUAACCGUAAAAUUCCAGCGAAUUUGAGUGAGAGAGUAGGUUCUCACAAUCAAUACUCACUGAUGGUCACUACUGACGAAGCCACGUACUAUAUGAUCGAGCAGCAAGUAAUGCACCUAGAUAGCUACAUACAUAUAUGGUGCUGGAUGCAUGGCAGAGCUGGCUACAGGCCAGCGGCAGAGGCCUGGGGAAGAAGAACACAAAGCAUGAGCGACCGGAGCAUUGCAAGAGAAACUUAAGUGCCCAGACCACAUUGAAUGGGCAUGUGAUGAGCGUGCUACUUAAGUUACCAAGGACACAUCACCUCCGUGCAUGCAUUCACGCCACAGUCCACAGGAGAGAUACACAGUUGUACCUCAAGGCUUGUACUGGUAGCAAUAUAGAAAAGGUAGAUUAAAUUCUCUUCAAUGCAAUACACUGGCCCUGCAAGACUACCUUUGGGUCCGGCUGGCUGGCCAGGUUUCAUUUGAUUCUGCUACAGGCUGAGGUGAUCCAUAUCCCUAUCAAAUAAAGGCAUCAAGAGCUUCAUCAAGAAAAAAGCUCAAGCGUUGUCAUGACUAGGAAUGAUGACAUUUUUUUGGCGCCACGCUCUUCCUUGGAGGCGUUACCGUGAGGUUACUUGUCUCAUGGGGUUUAGGCCUUGUUUAGUUCCCAAAAGUAUUCCCAAAAAUUUUAGAUCCCGUCAUAUUGAAUCUUUCGGCACAUGCAUGGAGUAUUAAAUAUAGACGAAAACAAAAACUAAUUAUACAGUUUACAUGUAAUUUGUGAGACGAAUCUUUUGAGCCUAGUUAGUCUAUGGUUGAACAAUAUUUGACAAAUAGAGAACAGUCUCCCUCUCUCUCAAGCUCUUCAUUUGUUUUCUAUGGCAUAGUUAGCAGUUAUUGAGAACACCCUCCCUCUCUCAAGCUUUGUUCUGGUAUAUAUAACAGGUAUUUUGAUGGUAUAUAUAGGGUUGUGUUUGUUGUGGUGGUUGUCAUGCUGUUGUAUAUACAUUAAUUGUGAGUUUUUUUGUGUGUAUGUUGUUGUACAUUGCUCUCUUGUCUAUAGCCAGGCGAUUUCUCGCUUGUGUUUUUUCGAAAAUAAACUUCAAUAAUACGCUAGUUUUAAGUUAUGUGCGGUAAACCAUUGGUGUACCAUGGGCCAUUCCCCCGUUUUCCACCACCUAUAUAUGAUGCUCCAUGUGUAUAUUAAAUAAACUUAAUAAUCCUGUACUCCUAACGGCCAGCUUGCCCUGCCUGAAAGAGUGAUCAAGGUCUUGUUGCUUGUUAUUAGAAGUACUUGGUCCUACACACUUCUACUAGGAAGUAGGAACAAGCAGCUAUGAAAGAAAAACUUUCAUCAGAGAAGACGAGCUGGCGAAAGAAACCUAGUAGUAGCUAUCAACAAAGGCCACACUGUCUGGUCUUUUUUGCUACAUGACACCUAAAAAGGGCCAGGCGUAGUACAGUUGCACGGUAGGGACAGUUCUACUGCUACUGCUACUACUGUGUGGGCGAGCACUACAGCUUGCUUUGGUCCUGGCCAUAAGCUGCUGCUGCCUGCAUUAACCUCCGGCCCGGCCCUAAUCCUAAGCUCGCUGGCUCCUUUCCAAAAUAAUGCACCUACACUACACUGUUCAUGGGAAAGCAGAUGCGAAUCUUUUAGGAUUGGAAUCAACGAGCGAGAGGCAUGCAGUGCAGGGAGCAAAAACUGAUCAAAUUAAGAGUAUACUGAGCUAUAGCGCUGUUCGUUGCCAAAUUAAAGUACUACAUACAGUAGUCAUCAAAUUUCUAUACUAAUUCUUUUCGGCUUACGAGAGAUAAAAGUCAGGAUGAGAAUAGUACUAGAACUUUUUUUUAUUACGGUACGGUGGACACUGCAUGGUUUGGUUCGUUGCGCCCUGAAAGAUUUUGGCGUCCGUUCGAGGCAGGCAUCAGAGGGGGCAGAGGCUAGGACCUCAGUCCUCAGCCACAAGUGGAGGAGGCUUGAGGUUUGUGGAGCAUGUUCCUGUCGGCCACUACGGUCUUCGUGUACGGCUGGUUGACCCCUACAUCAACAUGGCUCGGCUUGGCAGCAUGCAACGUGAUGGCCACCACUGGACACAGCCCACAGCCCACAGGCACACACUCCCCGCCCCUCGUCCUUGAGUUCCUCAAAUCACAUGUACGAUCGAUCGAGAUAUAUCAGGUACUACAACAUAUGCAUACAUGCAUGCCAUAUAUAUAUAUAUAUAUAUAUAUAUAUAUAUAUAUAUAUAGUAGUACUUCCUAGCUAGAAAUACUUAUCUUUUUCUUAAUAACUGGAUGAUAUAGUUCAUGGCAAAUGCACUACAGUUUGAUGAGGGGUUGGAACGGAGAAGACCCGAUACAGAAGAAAAUUACUUACAUGCGCUCAAACGUAUGGUUAAUUGGUUUGGUUGCCAAACACACCCAAAUAAAAGCACUGCCAGUUCAACCAAGAUUUAGUGUGGUGUAUGGAUCCAUGUAAGGUGGUUAAGAGUAUCUUUAAUAUAUCGUACUUUAUAAAUAAAUAUAAAUAAUAUAUGAACCAUGCAAUAUGAUAUGAACUACUGAAAAAGGGAACAAGAGAAUAUGCCAGUCAAAUACAAGCUAGAAGCAGCAUAAGAUAUACUAUACAAGAGCAACCAAGACAAGUUCCAUAUGCAUAAUGAGAUGGAUAGAUUGAUAAGAAACAGGCUAACAGACUCUCCUAACACACAAGCAAACAUGCAAUACAAUAUACAAAAAGCACCUAUAUACACACAUCAGACCAACUAACUCGGUUACUACUAGCACGUCAUAUAACUAGUAGCUAGUCGUACUUAAUACUACUGAGUCCGUCGUGGAACUUGAUCUCUGCUAUUAUAUUAGCUAGGACCUUCAUCACCAAGCAAGAUCUAUCGUGAGGCCCAUGCCCAUGAUGAUGACCUAGCUAUAUCUGGCUAGCUAGUCAACUACUCACACAAGACGUCCUUGAGCAGCUUGUACCUGCGGCCGGUCGCCCUGGUCGUCGCUCGCCGCCCAGGCCCAGCAGCCUCGGCCUGGUGGUCGCCGCCGCCGGCGCCCUUGCCGCCGGCGCCCCUGCCGCUGCCGCUACCGCUGCCGCCGGAGCUCGUGGUGGUCGACGACGACUCCUGGCUCCCGGCCGUGGCGUGCUGCUGCUUCGUCCCGCCGGCCGGAGACGAGACCGACCACCUCGCCUUCCCGCCGGCCACGACGUCGCUGAGGCACCAGUCGCACAUGCCGGAGCCGGCCGAGGCGGGUGCGCUGUCGCCGUAGUAGUUGGUGCAGUACCUGCAUGCAUGUCGCGCCAUGGCACCACCGCCGCACCAGUGGUGUGCAUGCAUGUGUAUAAGGACAAGAACAACAGUACUGCUAGUACACUAGUAGUACUCAUACAUGAAGCUAGAGGAUCGAUGGAGCUAGCUGGGCAAAGAAGAUCAGGCUCAUCACGUACGAGUGCUGGAAGCGGUGGCGGCAGCGCGCGCACCGGAAGAGCUUCUCGGGGAAGCCGACGUCGCCGCACAUGGAGCAGACGGUGGCGGCGGCGGUGCCGGCCAUGGUGGGACACAGACGUGGCCUGGAGGAAGCGAGGGAGAGACACACGGUCGUGGGUCAGAGCGAGAGAGAGAGAGAGAGAGAGAGAGGAGAGGGGACUCACGGGGAGUGGUGGUGAGGAUGGCUGAAUCUGAAAGGGAAUUGAAGGGUGUGGUAGUAGUGUGAUAUGGUGGUGGAAAGGCAGGAGGGGGGCCGCGGGGGGUGCAGUGUUUGUGUUAAAUAUGGAAGAGCGAGCGCCGAGCGAGGGAUAGGGACGCGUACGUGCAUUGCAUGUAAAGAAACGAAAAAAAGGAUGAGGUCCCUAGACGAGGCAGUGGCAGCAGGCAGGGAAGCACAGAGACACGGCGGCAACCUUAUAACUCGUCGACCGGCGACGGCGAGUGGAAAGGCUACGAGUCGUCGAUCGAUCUCACUCUCACCGACGUCACAGCGGUCCGGCCGGCGUCGGUCUCCGCUCUGUGUUCUGCUCAUUAUUCAGUCCUGCAAGUCGGUGUGGUGCUUGCAGGUUGCAGCUGCAGAGAGCCAGAAACAGUAUCACUCGAGGAGGAGCGCAGCGCGAGUCGCGAUGUGUGCCUGUGUGGCGGUAGUACUAGCUCUAGCUAGCUCAUGCUCAUCCAUUCACGCGAUGCGUCCUGUCCGGGAAAAGCUUUCGAUCGAUUUUGAGAGACAAAGACUAUACGUACUGAACGGCGAGAAACAUGUACAGCCGAUGGUUGCACACGAAACGUGUAGUCAAUUGGACUGCUAAUAGCCCAAUGCAAGCAAGUCUGAUCUGGAUCAUCACUGCUAUUAGAUGGGAACAUGGGACUAGUAUAUACAUCUACUACCUGCAAAUUGAAGUGACGACGCUUUUAACGCACAAGUUAUCGCGCUAGCUAGACUAACAAAGAUUACCCAUUGCAGGGUCCUGAUGAGGCGGAUCGAUGCCCCUUUUUUUUUUUUGCGAAUGAUCCAUGCAUUGCAUGCUGUGCGCGCGGUGCCGUCAGGUGUAGUGCCUGCAGAGUCGAGAGAGCAAAGCUGGCGGCUGGGCCGCCGGCUGCCUCCGAUCCGAUCCGGCCGCGCCCUUUCGGUGCAACAAAAUCCUGUACAGAAAUGGGUGGCCGUGUCGUGCGGCCGGCGCGUGCAUGGGAUUGGGAUUGGGAUUUGGGGGCCAUGGGCCGCGGUAUUUCAGAAGGAACCAGCUGCUAGCAGACGCCUCCCACCUGUGGUAUAUUGUACCCCGAUCAUCCUGCGUGUCGCUUGCGCCCGGUCACACACGGGACAACGACGUACGAGUAGCUGCACAUGAAUGAUCAUGCAUUAUUAUUGAUCCUGAUGUUACACAAGUGGAGGAGCUACUACCCUACUAGCAGAGCAGAAGGCGUGUACGUGGUCGGCCACAAGGCCCGUAACCAGGUAGGACAGACGAUAUAAUGCACUGCGACGACUCCGUGCGACUGUGCGAACCAUUGAGGCGGGAGCUGCAGCUGGAGAGAACAGGUUCUCCCUCCGUUUUUUUUUUAAAAAAAAUCUACCAUUUCAAAUGACUCAAUGUUUGAUCAAACUUAUAAAAAGAGCUUUGUUGUGGUACUCUCAAGUAACUGUGAACCGUUCAUCUAAUUAGAUCAGAUGGUUAGAAUCAUCUAUUACUUCGUACGAGGUAGUAUGUGAAGUAAGAAAAGUUUUAGAUAUAAAGAUCUUUUUAGAUCAAAUUGAUAUGUACAUGAUCUACUAGAUAUAGUGAAAUUUUAUAUUUUUGCAACUUUGGAUAUAAUAUAACUUAACUAAAAGAAACUAAUUACAAUAAACAUAUUUCAAAACUUAUAUGCGCGUAUUUCAAAACAAAGUACAUGCACUAUAUAGAAAACUUAUAUGCACUAAGUAUUAUAAAUUUUUUUUUGACCACUUUUAAGACAAAUAAAUCAUCAAACUUUAUACAUCAUGACCCUCCGCCCCAAACACCCCCCCCCCCACCAAAAAGCGGCCUACAUAUGCCCAACAAAUAUUUUCACCCUCCAUAAAAAAAUACAUGCUUAUAAUAUAAGUAAGAGCACCCCCAAUCGUUUUGCAAAUAGGCUUUGCAUUCAUGUAUAUGUAAAAAAGUCUUAAAAACACCUAUCCAACGGUUUGACAUUUGGACUUUGUAAUUUUGUUAACUUGGUAAAAGGAGGGGAAGGAUUGGCAUAUAUGCCAAGCCUGUUUACACUUGUCAUUGGGAAACUGGCGCGAAGUCCGCGCGCGGAUACGGGUUGAGGUCGUGCGAGUUUGGCGACAUCCCACCCCCAAACUUUCCUGAAAACUGCCCAUCGGUCUUCCAUCAACGACAGGUACUCCAUCGAUGCCCUUCUAAUUGUUUGUGUUUUUGCCUAUCGGUCUUCCAUCAACACCAGGUACUCCAUCGAUGCCCUUCAGAUCGUUUUUUGCCGGCAAAGACUCCAGCCACCAAACUCUGGGCGGCCAUGCACAAACGCCGUGACCUCAGCGCCUCGGCGGAAAUAAAUUUGCCGCGAACAUUCACCCGAUGCGUGAGGAGGAGAAAAGCUCGGCAAAAAAAUUGUGUGGAUCCAUAUUUUCUUUUUUGCCAAGUGAUUAAUGCCAAACCAUUGAAGAUUACUUCUUUUCACAUUUGCCAUAUUUUUUUGAGACUUAGCAAAUUCCCUCAUUUGCCAAACCAAUUAUGCAAAACGGUUGGGAUGCUUAUACGUGACAAUUUUAUUUUAUUGGGCCUUCUUAAUUUUAUAAUAUAAUUUCAUUCGAGUUAGCACAAUGAAUUUACUAACUUUUUAUGGUGAUAUACGCAUGCAUGCAUAGAUCCGCCAGGCUGUGUGUGCAAUGAACAAGGGAAGGGCACGCCACCGCCGGCCUGUUUCUGUUCCUCCCGUGCAUGCAGAGAUUCGAAAAUAUAGUCAUUUCCUUUUUUUCGUUUUCCUAUGUUAAUUAAUUAAUUUAAAAAAUCUAAAAAUCAAUGGCUCAGAUUUAUUUGAAAUAUUACCUCCUAGAAGGUAAAGAGUGUACCAUAGCAUUGCCCUAUAAAAAAGAGUAUUGAUAUUUUUAAUAUAAAAUAAGUAUCAUUAAAUUAGUUAUAGAACACUACCUCAUGCAGAAUACAAAACUUUUUGAUACAAAUUGAGAAGAAUAAGAGGAAAUCUAGGCUGCGAGCAACAAGGAUUAGAGAGGGAUAGCAAGAAUAGCUACGGCACAACUCACGGACAAGAGGAAAAUGAAGGUAUAUUCUCUAACCGAUCCCUUCUUUUUACGUCGUCCUUUACUAUUCUACCUAGAGUCCUCUUCAGCCUAGCUCACUUAGGUAGCCUGGUCUCGGUCCACAUGGACACAUGAUAGCCCAUUACCAUGCAUAACAAGUGAUAUCAAAUAUCAUUGUUGUCGGCUCUUCUCCUGAACCGACAGUGAUAUCCUCAAGAUCAUUAUUUGGUUAGGACUACAACUGGCGGUGUUGAUUUGAGCAACACUGCCAGCUUGCUUGGCAAUCGACAAUGAUAUCCUUAUGAUCACUGUUAGCUUAUGUAUGGACUCAACACUGAUCUGAUUUUCCCAUAUGCCUAUUUAUUAAUUUAUUAUUGUAAUUAUUGUGUAGUACUUUUUAUUUCCUAUAGUUACUAGAUUGGAUAUUUAAAGCAUCACAUACAUCAUAAAUCCAUCAAGAUUGAUUUAUAAUACAAAAUAAUACAAUAAUGUAUAUGUUAUAGUGAAAAUGUAUAUUACCACAGAAGUUUCGUUAUAUCUAGAUCUAUAUGUACUACUCUACAAAAUAUUACAAUAAUGUAUAUAUUUGAUCAAUGCUGAAAGAUCCUGUUUUACUCAAGACCUCGCCCAUGAUGAAGUAUGCUAGCUCGUCUUGCAAUCCUUUGAUCUCGAAGUCUAGCAGCAACUUUUUAUUUUAAGUUCCUUGCGCUGUCGUUGAAGCAAGAUGAUAUCAAAAUACACAAGCAUUAGACAAAACAAUAUUGUGUUUAUUGAAUUAACUGAUAUACAUAAAAUGAGAAACAUACAUGCUAUUUUAUUUCCUUCCGUUUUCACUGAGAUAUUGGUGCACUGCCCACAUCAUAUAGAACCUGUGUUUGUUGUUGGGCAUCGAUUGUUAUACAGUAUGUGCCCCCAUAUAAUGAGCCUCAAUAAGGUUCUUUAUGUCCUCAUCCAUAUUUUUCUUGACUCUAUGUGACAUUAUAAAGUGUGAAAGAUGGUGUAAUUGGAAUGUGCUAUGUGAUUAUUAGAAAGUUAUAGGUUACGAGAUUCGCUUACUCAUUUAGCAAGAUGAGUAGGUCAUUGAUCCGAGAAAGUUUCCUUCUCUUCGAGUCUCACACUUUGACAUGUGAUUGUGCAAGUUUCAUAUCUACCAGGAUAUAUUGGAACUUGCACUCACAAAUUUCCAGUGCAAAUCAAUCCUAAUAGUUAACAGAUAACCUUAAAAAAAGAAGCACCCAGCUAGGGCCUUACAAAAUUGGUCCUUAGAUUUUUGCAAUCUCUGCAUGGGUAGUACACAUAGCCUUGAUUCCCUUGAUUACGUGCGGCAUAAGCUUUGCCAGCUGUGAUGAAGGUGUUGACUCCCAUCAAGAACUACAUGUCUUAAGAUGUGAGACCGUACAUCCACCCUCGAUCCAUCUCUACACUAGGUGUCACAUGUGUGCAAUCAUAAAAAUUGAAAAUUACAGCAGUGUCAUCAUGACAUGAACAACAACAUCCUAGCUAAAAAUUUAAUGAUUGCUAGAUGUCACUUGGAUGUGUUAAUCAAAAUUAAAAUUGAUAGCCCUCUUAAAGAAGAAAUAUUCUACUUCAAGCCCAGAGGCGAAUCUAGCCUAUUUCAUCGGGGUCACACGACCCCGACAAACUUUGGUAAAUUAGUAGAGAAAUAUUGUUCAUUGACGUUCAUCAAUGGUGUUAACCCUAUUAUUUUAAUGCAAUGACCCCAAUGAGCUUCCUGGCUAAAUUUGCCACUGUUCAAGUCACGUAAAAAUGGCAUAGCUUAUUAUAGAAUUAAAAACUAGAGCCAUUGAGAACCACUAUCUUUGCUAAAAUUUUUUUUUGUUCUUAGGUGUUAUAUAGAUUUGUUCAUCAAAACUAAAACUGCUAGUCAACAAGUAUUCUACAUUUCUACUUCAUGCCACAUAAAAAUAGGGAGACUAUUAUAUGAAAAUAAAAAUUGGAGCCUUCGAGAGAUUGAAUUAUACAGUAAUCACUCUAGUGCCAAAACUAAAGGAGCCAACACUAUAAAGCAGUUUAGACCCAUCUGUCUCCUGAACGUAGAUUAUAAAUGGUUCACUAAAGUUCUAACAAAUAGGUUGGUGCCUGUAGCUAAAAAAUAAUUGGGAAGAAACAAGCAGGGUUUAUUAAGGGGAGAAACAUCCUUCAAGGGGUUGUCGUUCUUCAUGGAGUCCUCCAUGAGCUACAUAAAUCCAAGGCAAGGAGCCUAGUUUUAAAAAUUGAUUUUGAAAAGGCUUAUGCUAGAGUAAGAUGGGAUUUUCUGGAGAGAGUAAUGAAAGGAAAAGGGUUUCCUAUCAAAUGGAUUAAUUGGGUAAUGAGCAUUGUUAGAGAAGGAAGGGUUUGUAUUAAUGUCAAUGGUGAAAGGAGUGAUUACUUUAGAACAUAUAGGGGUCUGAGGCAAAGGGAUACCCUUUUUCCUCUACUUUUUAACAUUGUGGCUGACGCACUUGGGGUUAUGUUACAAUCUGCUAUUAGUAAGGGUCAGCUUUCUGGUAUGAUAACAGACCUGAUCCCUGGGGGUGUAUCUCGUAUACAAUAUGCUAAUGAUACAAUUAUCAUGAUUGAGGCUACCGAAUAGUCAAUUAGAAAUUUGAAACUUAUUCUUUAUUGUUUUGAGUGUCUUAUGGGUUUAAAAAUCAAUUAUCAUAAGAGUGAAGUUUUGUUUUUGGUGUUACUCGGUUGGAAAAUGAGAAUAUGGCUAAUAUGCUGAAUUGUGUGCUAGGUGACUUUCCUAUGAAGUAUCUAGGUGUUCCUGUUAGUUAUAAAUGUUUGAACAUGAGUGCUUUUAGUCCUAUGACUCGGAAAAAUGGUUAAAAGGUUGGAUCUUUGGAAAGGUAGAUCGCUGAUUUCAGCGGGUAGACAAAUUCUAACAAUAGUUUAUGUUUAGUACUCUAUGUAUGUAUCCAAAUAUUCAAUAUGGUGAGAGUUAAAGUUUAACUCACGCAAUCAAACGGUGCCUUAUAUAGGUAACAAAAGGAACAAAUUGUAUUCGGAGGGCCUAGCUAAGAGGUUGCGUAGACAACCGUUUAUACCAGGUACAUGUAGUACACUAUAGUACGAUCAAUGAUGAGAUCAGUAGCAAGUCACCUUUUGACAAACAGCAGCACAUAUUUAAUAAAUCCAAACAAUAAAAAUUUGUGCAAAUGUCUAAGCUUGCCAGUUCGACUUCUUGAAUUAUAACACAUUACACAUGCUCAACCGACGCGAACUACCUUGUGUUAUUUGUUUAUCCAAGACCCAAGAAUUGACCACAACAACAUAUGAGGUUAUGAGCUCCCACAACCGUAAGGAACAAAUUGCCACGUUCAUUCCCGAUACUGCAUGUGCACAUAAUUUUUAAGUCUUGACCCCUAAAACCAUCCUACUACUACAUAUAACACCCAAAUCGAGAGCUUAAGAAACUACUACACAAUAAGUCAUCAAUAGCAAGAGUCUAGCUCAACUAAAGACGACUAUCGAUACGUACAAUUAGCUAUAGGAGGACGUCGACGGUGUCGCCCCCUCCACAGGAGAGAUAGAUAAUCAAUGGCUACUCCAGUGACAUUCCGAGAUGGCGUAUUCGCGGUGCUGCCAAUCCUGACACUUCUUGUAAGCCCCAUUUCCUGCUAUGAGAAUCCGAGGUCCGUGUCUCUUAGGAAUCGCACUACCACCAGCCGGUACACCUCAACGCCGGCCAGAGCCGCCGAUCGAUGGUACUCGGGCGGCGCGACGUGGUAUGGGAGCCCUUACGGCGCCGGCAGCGACGGUAACUAUAUAUACAUAGUACUCAAUUUGAUCACUAUAUAUAUGUAAUGCCGUGAAGCGUAGCAGUACUGGAGUAGAAGAAAUCGUAUUAAAGAAGCUUAAUCCUGCAAUGCAACUGUAAUGGUAUAUAGUAUUCUCUGAUGAUCUCGUUGCAUGCAGGCGGUGCGUGCGGCUAUCAAGGUACCGUCAGCCAGCGCCCGUUCUCGUCGAUGAUCGCCGCCGGCGGUCCUUCACUUUUCAAGAACGGCAAUGGCUGCGGCGCAUGCUAUCAGGUUAGUCGUACUUGUGACUUGCGAAGUGUUGUGUGUACGUGCAUUAUUCGUCUUAUAAACACUGAUACAAGUGUUGUGUGUACUGCUGUACGAAUACGAAGAUCAAGUGCGCCGGCAACAAAGCCUGUUCCGUUCGGCCAGUGACUGUUACCAUCACCGACUCCUGCCCUGGUGGCGUCUGCCUCGCCAGGACGGCGCACUUUGACAUGAGCGGCACUGCCUUCGGCGCCAUGGCCAACCGCGGCAUGGCCGACCGCCUCCGCGCCGCCGGAAUCCUCAAGAUCCAAUACAAGAGGUGCUGCUGAGUUUGAAGUUUGAACUGGCCAUGCAUUCUAGUGAAAUUAAGGUAUGCACGCAUGUCGGCGUGUGACGAAGCUCUCUACUUUCAACUAAUUUUGCAGGGUGUCGUGCAACUACAAUAAUGGCGCCAUGGGAGGAAUUGCCUUCAAGGUGGACCGGGGCUCCAACCCGUUCUACCUCGCCGUGCUGAUCCAGUACCUGAACGGCGACGGUGACCUCGCCGCGGUGCACAUCAUGCAGCAGGGCGGCGCGUGGACGCCGAUGCAGCACUCGUGGGGCGCCAUGUGGCGCGCCAACUCCAACACCGGCAAGCCGCUGCGCGCCCCGUUCUCGGUCCGACUCAUCUCCGGCUCCGGCAAGGUGCUCGUCGUCAGGAACGCCAUCCCCGCCGGUUGGCGCGCCGGUAUGACAUACUGGUCAACGGUGAACUACGCCACCUAAUAAUAAGCCAUUGGUGUAGAGGGAUUAGGUUAAUGCUGCGGCAAUUGUCAAAGGCUCAAAGCAAUUGGUCACGCGAGCCGGCUUGUAAUUCCAGACAUUGUAAAUUUUCUCCCCCCCUGUAGGCGCCUAGCCGGUAUAUAUAUAUGGUCAUUUGCACUUCUCAGUCGUUGGUGCAGUGCCGUCUUGGAGACAUCAAGCACUGUUUGGUGACUGACUAUAAUUCGCCGACUUCUCAGUCGUUGGUGCAGUGCCGUCUUGGAAGACAUUAAGGAAAAAAAGAUCUAUAUCUUCUGUAGUGGCUUUUUCAUUCGCGGACUGACUAUAAUUCAGGUUUAGUGUGGCGUAACCUGCAGCUUAUCACUCCAGUCUUGUGCCUUUCUCCUUAAAGCAUUGGCAGUGCUAGCGCUCUGCCUUGUUUUUUUUUAUAAAAAAAAAGAAUCAAAAGAUGUUCUCUCUGCACCACAGAGUUACAAAGUUGGGAACCUGGGAUCAGAACACUGUUUGGUGAUGUUUCAAGGUAGUAAUCUUCGAUCAAACCAGAUAAUUAUCGGUAGCCUGCUGCAAGCUUUAAUUAGCAAAUUAAAGGUGCCGUGUCGUGAUACCAUUGCAUGUGACCCCUUGUGUGUAUUUGCAUCCCGGAAGAAAGUCCACUUUAGGUUCGUUAACUUUUGUGAAAGUCCGCUUCUCAUUCCUGAAUUUGAAAAUCGGGUAAAAUAGUCAACUUUUGAAACCGUGUAUAUUGUGUCCCUGAAAUGGUUAUGAGCGGUUUUGAAGGUAGUUUUGUCUUUUUUAUUUUUAUUUAUUUCGGCAGAAUAUUUGUAAAAUUAUAAUAAUAAUCACAUAAAAUUGAUAAAAUAGUAAAUCUGAUUUUGUUGGACUCCAGAUAAGUAGAUCUACACAGUGAAUAUAUAACAUAGUAUGAUUUAGUACAAAGUUUUUGUUGUAGCUUUAGAGCUGUGUUUUUCUAUAAUUAAUUAGAAUAAUUCAUAGCUAUAGUUUGUAUGGUCUAAUUAUGGUGAAAUUUUUACGUUUGGCUAAUUAUUAUACGUUUAAACUGUGGUAAAAGUUUCAUACUCAUUAGAUCAUGUAUAACUUAGUUAUAGACUUAUUAAUAUUUAACGAGCAUAAACCUAAAUAAAUCUAUAACUAAGUAAUACAUGAUCCAAUGAGUAUGAAAUUUUUACUACAACUCAAAAAUAGAAUAAUUAGCCCACCAUAUAAAUUUCAUCACAAUUGGACCAUAGAAACUAUAUCUAUAAUUAGUCUAAUUAAUUACAGAAAAGCAUAGAUCUAAAGAUGCAUCAAAAAAUUUGUAAUAAAAUAUACUAUAUUAUUUAUAUAUAUAUUCAAUGUAUAGAUCUACUCAUCUAAAUUCCAAUAAAAUUGAGUUUUCUAUUUUAUAAUUUUAUGUGAUUUACUGUGAUUUUUCAAAAAAUUCAACCGAAAUAAAUAAAAAGACAAAAGACAAAACCGCUUUCAAAACCAGAUCAGGGAUAUAACGUGUACGGUUUUAAAAGUUGAGUGAUGUAUUUUGUCCAGUUUUAGAGUUUAGGGAUAAAAUUCAAAUUUUUUGUGAAAAAUAGGGGACCUAAAGUGGACUUUUCCUUUGCAUCCCCCAAACCAUGAGGAACUACGCGAACUGGCCAUGCACGGCCCAUGCCUUCGUGAUACACAGUUAGUCCACCGAACUUGCCUCGCGCCACUGCGCUGCAUGGCGCUUAGUGGGCCUUAACUGGGCCUUUUGAAUUAGAAUGCCCGUCUGGGGUCCGGCGGUUCAGGAAUGACUCGAUCCAUGCGUUUAUUGACCUGAGCACAGUAGUUUCCUUUUUUUUAAAAAAAAAAACCUUGAGCACAGUACUACUGCAUCACGAUCCGUGCAAGCCACCUCCACACAUGGUGUCUAGACGUACGCGACGGCGACCCACCGUGCACGUUCGCACUCGCCGAAUUCUCGCGGUGUGGAUGGAGGUCGCGUCGCGCCUCGCGCGGCCGGGGGAGACAGAAGCAGGCCGGCAAUCCUGCCAGGAUCGCGGCGAGCCGCAGCGUGACGGGCUCCUGAUCGAUCUACGGCUGCCGUGGGAUCGGAGGAGCGGUCGUGACUUCGUGAACAGUUGAUUGGGGGACGGCGAGCGAGAUUUCUGGCGGUCCCUGACGAUGGAUACGUACGCUCGAUCGCUCGCGGAUAAUCUGGGGAGGCGGCGGAUCGGAGACUAGUUGACCGGCGGGAAGGCGAACCGUCUCGGGAUUCAUCACAGGCGUGCCCGGCCGCCAACUGAAAUAACGGCCAUUUUGACCUACCAACAGUGAAGCUAGCUAGCUAGCUAGUGUGCUCAGAUACGGAAUUACGGAUCACCUCAUGCGUGCCCAGCUGCUGACGAUGGUGGCCUCUGCUGGUCUGGCCUGGUCGUUUUAACUUGCUAGUGUACUCCAACACAGAUAGACACGAAAGCCCUUUGAUGGAUUCACAGCAUUUCAGCUUUUGCCUAAGUUGAGAGAAUCCUCUGGGACGAAUGCGACACUGAAAAUAGUACUCUACAGGUAACAUUCAUAUCGUGCACAGCACAAUGCAAUGCUCUGCGACUUUCAACACGCAGCUCGAUCUCUACCUAGAUGGCUAGAUCUACCUGGGAAGGCAGAAUGCGAAUUUGCCAUGUCGUCUCCAAUCAGAGAUAGAUCAAGGAUGGACAAGUGAACUGCACACAAAAGGAUCGGACCGGCCUAAUACCUGUACUAGCUCUCUAGCUAGCUAGGGCAGUUAAGUGGUUUGUUAAUUACACUUAUCUGCCAUCAACAUGUUGACCCUAGCCAUGUGCAGUUAAGCGAUGAACAAUCCAACAGAGGAAGCAACCUGCGUGAGAUCUGUUACCAUGCAUGCAUGCAUGUACACCAUUUGGCUGCCUAUAAAUAGGACAGGAGAGAAACCAAAGCUCAUCACCCACACAGCUCACAGUCUCACGCACCACUUCUCAUCUACUUGCGCCCUCUCCCAAUCCCAAUCAUCCCUUGCAAAACCACGACAUACAGCAAGCCACAGGAGUGAGCAACGACGGCGGCUAUGGCUUCCAAGUCCCAGCUCCUGUCCUUCAUUGCGAUUGCGGCUCUAGCCUCGAUCAUCAUCCACCCUUGUGCAUCCGUCGAGUUUCACCGCAAGCUCUCCAGCUGGUCCAGCGGCGGCGCGACGUGGUACGGCGCCGCUACUGGGGCUGGAAGUGAUGGUAUGUCUAGUGACAAUAUUACAUUGACCAAACUCAUCAUGCUGUGUCAAAGAAUUAUUCCCUCAUUUGGUCAUUUCUCAACGAUCGACCUGAUGAUCGAUACACGUAGGUGGUGCAUGCGGGUACCGAGGUGCCGUCGACCAGGCGCCCUUCUCGUCCAUGAUCGCCGCGGGAAGCCCUUCCAUCUACAACUCCGGCAAGGGCUGCGGCUCUUGCUUCCAGGUGCGUGCGUGUGUACACUUGUGUGUAUUGUACCCGCUGGCGCCUGACGCAUCACGCAUAUAUAUAUAUAUAUAUAUAUGAUGAUUCGAACUAAUAACGUGGUUGGGAAUAAAUCAACGUUGGCACACAGGUCAAAUGCACCGGCAAUGGCGCGUGCUCCGGCAACCCAGUGACCGUCGUCAUCACCGAUGAAUGCCCUGGCGGUGCGUGCCUCAACGAGCCGGGCCACUUCGACAUGAGCGGAACGGCAUUCGGCGCCAUGGCGAACCCCGGCCAGGCCGACAAGCUGCGCAACGCCGGCGUCCUCCAAAUCCAGUACACCCGGUAGGAACUUGUCCUCGACCAUGUAGCUAGCAUACACGGCACUUGUUGCACUAUUCCAAUAACCGCGCCAAACACUGUCCUUUAUUACGUACAGUGUGCCAUGCAACUGGCCUGGCGUGAAGCUAACCUUCGUGGUCGACGCCGGCUCGAACCCGGAGUACUUCGCCGUGCUCAUUAAGUACGUGAACGGCGACGGCGACCUCUCCGCCGUCGACCUCAUGCAGACCGGGGCUGGGGCGUUGUGGGCGUCCAUGCAGCCGUCGUGGGGCGCCGUCUGGAAGUUCAACGCCGGGUCGGCCUUGCAGGCGCCCUUGUCCAUCCGCCUGACGUCGAGCUCCGGCAAGCAGCUCGUCGCCAGCAACGUCAUCCCCGCCGGGUGGACGCCCGGCGCCACCUACCAGUCCUCUGUCAACUACUAAAUCCAGAAUUAUAUACUGCAAGUACGCAUGCAUGCAUAUCUGAUCAGUGCGCGCAGCAUGCAUACACAUAUAUAAGUUGAUAAGUCGUCUCGUGUGUGAUAGCUUGUACUGUGUGUGUGUGUGGACUCUCGCUAGCUAGUCACAACUCACAACACAGUGGUUGCAGCUUAAGCUUGGCGAAGGUGCAACAAGCAGCAAUAUAAUAAUGGCAGAGGCAGAGCAGGAGGAGGCGCAGCAUACGAGUAUAGUUCUCCCCUCUUUCGCCGCUAGUCUAUGCCUACAGAUGUGUGUCGUUAAUAAUGUUGUGUAUCAGUGAUCGCAGAGCUUAUUAGCGACGUCACUGUAUAAUGGAGUCAUUGUUGUUGAAUGGUGAUUGCUUAAUGCAGACUGUGUGAUACUAUGUCUCCAUGGUGUACCUAUUCUUUCUUUUUUCUGGAAGUGGGUAUACAUUGAUUUAUAGAUAUCACAAUUCACAAUAGGAUGCAUAUGCAACCAAGUUGCAGAACUCUGAACAUUAUGAUGCGAUUUAUAAUGCGGAAAUAAUAGCAAUGUAGUAUAUAUAGUAUUCGAUAGUUGUCAAGAAAAAAUUAAUGUAGUUACUUAAUCAUACUUUUAUUAUGUUAUUGCCACACAUAACUUUGGAAAGAAUAAUGGUGCAUUAGAAAUCAUAUGGAUCGUACGACAAUUGACAAGUACUAGAUCGUACAAGGGUUAGUACAUACCAUUUUCUCAAAUUCUUCACUAUCAAGUAGAUUAGUAGAAUAAGGACAUUGCGAGGGCCGUUUUUAAGUGAAGAUAAGGGAUGGCAACAUACUUGCAUGCUUUCCAUGAACAGUUGGCCUUUAAGCUUCUGAGAAGAAAGGAGAUGCGAAGGAACCUAGUUUGGGCCUGAAUACAGAAUACUUGGUUGCACGUAUGGCCCACGUAUCAGGGGGCCUAUUGCCUGAAUUGAUGAUUGGGCCACCGGUAUGAAGGCAACUCAAGUCGCUUCCGUACAAAACAAAAAGAAAUUUGGACCUCUAUAAAAAAAAGAAAUUUAGACCUACAUGGGCCGACAUUCAGAAUCAUAGAGUACCCCCUCCAUCUCAAAAUAAAUCUUAAUCUCAUAUAAAAGAAGCCAACCAAUAUCAACUUUAACAAGAUUUUAAAAAUAGUAUCAACAUUUGUAUUUUAAAUAGGUUUACUAACAAAAUAUAUGACGUGAUUUAAUUUAAUACUGCCUAUCUAGUAUAAAUAUUAUUAGUAUUUUUAGUAUAUGUUUUGGUUAGAAUUAAGAUUAUUUGACUUCUUGAAAUCUGAGAUGAGGAGUUGUAUUUUGUAAUUGAGGGAGUAGGUUUCCUUUUUUUUAAUAAACAAGGGAGUAGGUUUCUAGCCGAACAAAAUAUUCAGAGAGCUGAACCCUCGUGCCGCUAAUUAAUCUCAUCAAUCAGCACCGCCUAUACAAUCCUUUUUCCAUCAGUUCAUCAUCUCAGGGAACCACUAGACAUCCGAAGCACAGGCCACCAAUCAUGCAUGGCCGCAACCGAGCAACGUGCGUGCACAACACAAUAGUACCCCGGCCCGGCGCAAAGUCAAAUGAACGCCAAAACUUAGUCGUCGGCACAACACCAAUUCGCUCCAAUCGCGGCGACGCUCGCGAACCAACGAAACAGGCGCCCCGGCCCGGGCCUGGGUUCGGUCGGCAGCGUCUGAAACGGAUCAAAUGGGAAGAAAAGCGUUGGGGUUUGCCCGGAUUGCGGCGGACGCAGCCCAGCAGCGCACACGCCAACCCAGUAUCGGAAUUAAACCACGUACGCCUGAUGACGCGCGGAAACAGAACACCAAUAUCUUGCCAACCAUCACGCACACCCAAAAACUCAAAAUUUUUUAAGAUAUUUUCUGUCACAUCAAAUCUUUAGACGCAUCCAUUGAGUAUUAAAUAUAGACGAAAAUAAAAAUUAAUUUCACAGUUUGGCCGAAAUUGACGAGACGAAUCUUUUGAGCCUAGUUAGUCCAUGGUUGAACAAUAAUUAACACAAACAAACAAAAAUACUACAGUGUCGCGGAACUUUUCCCUUCAGAAACUAAACACGGCCUCGGUGUAUGUUAUUGUGCACGAUUCAUUUUUGUCUGCUGAGUGUGUCGCUUAAUUAGAAAGGUGGCGAAAUGGAAAAUUAGUAUGGUAUAUGUUGCUAAUACGGUGCAAUCACUUCGGUGACCGUAUGAUGCCUUCACCGAAAAACUAAAUUUUUUCAAGAUUCUAUAUCACAUCGAAUCUUGCGGCAUAUACAAUGGAGCAUUAAAUAUAGAUGAAAACACAAACUAAUUGCACAGUUUGACUGAAAAUCACAAGUCGAAUCUUUUAAACCUAGUUACUCCAUGAUUGGACAAGGUUUGUCAAAUAAAAACGAAAGUGCUACAAUGUUAAAAUUCAAAAAAAACUGGAACUAAAUAAGGCCUCCUGCAGGGCAGAUACAGGGUGGCACGUACGGUUUUACUAUUUGUCGUGUACUUGCUCUGUUCCAAAAAGAAUGUCACCAUAGGGUUCGUACUGGUUAUUUUUUUUAAAUAUAACUAGGUUCAAAGAAGUAAAAGAUAUAUUAAUAAUAUUUAUAUCUUCAAAAAAAUUAUUAUAAAAAUAUAUAUUUAGUAAUUUAUUAAUGAUAUUAAUUAUGCACCAUAAAUGUCAAUAUCUUCUUAUAUAUAUUUGGUUGAACUUUAAACUAUUUAACUUUUCAAAAAAUAAGAGUGACAUUUUUUUAUGAAACGGAGGAAUUAGACAGUAUAAUGUAAAUAUAGUAAUACGUGCUCAAUGAGUCAUGCAACUAUUCAAGGAAUGCAAGAUGUUGUAGGUAAGAGCAUCCUCAAGAUCUUUCUUUCAAAAUCAUCAUUUAAAUAGUCAUUUAAAUAAAAUAAUAUUUUUUCAUAUUUCUAUUAUGCACACUCUAAAGAGUCAAUUUAGUUCUCCAUCUUCAAUUAACGAGAAAUUCCAAAUAGAGAAUAGCGAUAUUUGAAGAUCUAACUAAGAGCCUUUUAAUUAACGAGAAAUUCCAAAUAGAGAAUAGAAAUGCAUAUUUUGGUGAAAAAGAAUACACAAAAUAGAAAUGGAUAUUUUGUGACAAAAAUACACUCCAAUGACUUCUUUAAAAUAGAUCUUCAAAUAUAAUAAUCAUUUAUUCCAGAUAUCUCGCUAACCAAAUAUAGAGAGUGGAAAUGGUUCUUUAGAGUGUGUACAGGAUGUAGACAAAUUGUUGAAGGAUGAAAAAAACAAUUUUUAUUCCAAUAGCUCUCUAAUUUUUUCACGAACAUGCUUUGCAUGUCUAUCAUUAAGGAGAAGCAAGAGUUUUACAACGAUUAGUACUGGUCGGCCUAGGAUGUGAGCAACCUUGUAAGUAAGAGCAAAAAAAAAAAAAAGCCAACUAGAACAACUGUUACAUGGCAGAGAUAGCAGCACGAUAAUCAGCCCAUGGCAUGGUCUGAUGGAAAUGACUUUCUAAAUGAUAAUUUUAGAGAUUAAGUUUAUGAGAAAGUCUUGGAGAUACUCUAAUUUAAGAAGUUGUAGGGUAUUUUCAAACAAAAUUUUUAUUUUUUAUCAAUAACAACGAUAUAAAAAGACUCUUAGAGUUGUUAUAAGAAUAUUAUAAGUCGCCAAAUCUCUGGGACAGUGUUGCACUAGCAGUCAGAGAGCGUGAUCAUCUCCGUUACCUAAGGUGUCGUCCGAGAUUCGGCUCCGUUGACAACCAUAUGUGCUCGCUCGUCUUUCAAUCAUGCCCGCACGUUUGCCUCAAUAAUGCAAUGCAAUAACAGUAAGUACUGCUGCGACAUAUUUGCUGCCACGUUUGGAACUUCUAAUAAGACAUUCUAUAUAUACCACCCGAAAUGAGCUACAGUCUGGCAAACAAACUCGCCAUCACCAUACCAAGCACCAGCUAGACCUUCUAUAGUCCAUUGGCCCUCGUCUCAGCUCGUCUCCUAUAGCGUAUCACAAACAGGAGACGACGAUCAAUGGCGGCUAGUCCGAGCACAUUCCGAUUUGCUGCCGUAGUGGCCGUGCUGUCGACCCUGUCACUUCUUGCAAGCCCUACCUCCGGCUACGAGAACGCCGAGCCCAUGGUGAUCAGGGACUCGCCGCAGAACGACACCAGCAGGAGGUACCUGUGGGCGUCGUCGGCGCGAGGCUACGGCUGGUCCUCCGGCGGCGCGACGUGGUACGGCAACGCUAACGGCGCCGGCAGCGACGGUACGUAGUAACAGCAGCACGUGCUCUGCUCAAUGCGCGGGUGAAACUUAAUUUAGCGAUUAGUGGAAAACAAAUUGACCUUUUUUCCAUUCGGUGAUCUCUCUUUUGUUUUCCUGCAAAUUAAUGGUAAUCUCUUGGUUCCAUUGUUGUGUAUAAUGCAGGUGGUGCUUGUGGUUAUAAAGGUGAUGUCAGCCAGCGCCCAUUCAGGUCGAUGAUCGCGGCCGGCGGCCCUUCCCUCUUCAAGAACGGCAAAGGAUGCGGCGCAUGCUACCAAGUCAGUAUACACACACGUACUAUACGUUGACCGUGAGAGGUGCCACGCACGUUCUAGCUGUCCAUCUACUAACUCCGGGUGUACGUACGGCGACUCUGCAGAUUAAGUGCACGGGCAACAGAGCCUGCUCCGGCCGGCCAGUGACGGUCACCAUCACCGACUCCUGCCCCGGCGGUGCGUGCCUUGCCGAGUCGGCGCACUUUGACAUGAGCGGCACGGCCUUCGGCGCCAUGGCCAACCGCGGCAUGGCUGACCGCCUCCGCUCCGCCGGAAUCCUCAAGAUCCAGUACAAGAGGUGAUUGUUGCUACUCAUAGUAGUAACCAUGCAUGCAUAAUGCAAGACGCUGUGGCGUGAUACAUUGUCUUGGCUUGUGCAGGGUGCCCUGCAAGUACAACGGCAGGACCGUCAACUUCAAGGUGGACGCGGGGUCCAACCCGUACUACCUCGCCGUGCUGAUCGAGUACGUGGCCGGAGACGGCGAGAUCUCCGCGGUGGACAUCAUGCAAGCCGGCUACAACUCGUGGACGCCGAUGCAGCAGUCGUGGGGCGCCGUGUGGCGGGUCAACUCGAACAACGGCCAGCCGCUCCGCGUGCCCUUCUCGGUCCGCAUCACCUCGGGCGCCGGCAAGGUCCUCGUCGCCAGGAACGCCAUCCCCGCCGGAUGGAGCGCCGGGAGGACCUACCGCUCCGCAGUGAACUUUGGCUACUGAGCCAGUGUGCGGGUAGAAGUUGUUUCUUCGGUCUUGAAUGAAUUUGGUAUGUGCGUCCGGGAAAUGCGAGAGGCCGCGCUGGAAGAGGAGGUUAGGUAUAUUCGUGCAUGUUGUGCAUCCCCCCACGGUGUGUCCGGAAAACCGUGGAAGGGUACUCCCUCCAAAGACGACCACAGUGUGUUUUCCCUUGUGAUGUAAUGAUGUCUUGGUGUCCUUAAUGCAGAAGCAUAACUAUUGGAGUCACAAUGGGUCCGUUUGGUUCUCUGGCUAUCUCCUAACCAGGCUUGCUAGAGCCAACUUAAGCUUGUUUAGUUGAUUGAACAGAUCCCUUAGCUAGGCUUGAGCAAGCCACCCAAGAAGCCUUUAGCCUGGCCCUAGAAAAUUGGAGGAGUUGGACGUUUUUCAAGAACCAGCCUGGUUGCGAGUCACCUCACCGCCCGCGGUUGCGAGUUGACCGCAUCGUCCCGUCAUUCCCUUCCUCUCGCUGGUGCUCGUCCCUGCGAGUUCUCCUUCGGCGAUCAUCCUCACCAACACAACCAAUGGCAGCACCCAUGCUCACCCUCGCUGAAGGAACCAGUGGCGACGCAAAUCCGCUCCUUCGUUCGGUGGUGGGGCUCCGGCCGUGCUCCUCCUGCUCCGAGGACUGCACGCAAGAGUGUGCGUGCCGGGGAGGUGAUUGGGAGGUGGAGGCACCGAGGAGGGGCAUGGAGACAGCAUUGGCAGCCCCACGAUGGCGCAGACGGGAUUUUCAACUCCGGUGAGCUAUCUCCUUCUCCUCCUCAAGGUCCGACCGAACAACUCCGGUGAGCUCCUCCUCAUCCUGUCGAAUGACUCUGGUGAACUCCUCCUCCUCCUUACUCGCGGCAAGGUCCCAACGUUCCUCCUCCAUGCCUCCUCGUCCCUCUGCUCCUCCUUGCUCGCCUGGCAGCAGGGGCUCGACUCCCUUCGGAGUCCGCCAUGGCCAACUCUAGGUGUCGGCCAUGGAAAACAGACGAGCUCGAAGUGUUUGAUGAAAUGGCUGAGAGGAAGUAGACUUACCUGAUGAAGGAAGAGCUAAAUCUAUAGAUUGUGAUGAACUAGGGGACUCAACCAAUGAUAUUCUUUUUAUCUUUCAGAUACAUUUAAGUCUAAUUCUAGAAUGUUAAUUACUUGAAGUAUAAGGUCUUGGGAUUGGUUGGAGGAUUUGCCAUACAGAUUGUACUUUCUGUCCAUUUAGAGCAUCAGCCGCAUUGGCCAAAGCCACUAGAGAAGAAGGUGAUGGAAGGACUUUAAUUAAUAGAAUAUUAUUUCUUUUUAUUUUAGAUUUUUCAUGUGUAAUUCAGGGUUGUAGCCGACAUUGUCGAUCUGCUUCUCACUCAUUUUGUAUUCGACACAUAUUUAUCUGUAUUGACCGAGACAAUCCAUUUUCAUAUAUGUACCCAUUGGCUAUCUGUGUUCGAUUCCAGAUCCAAAGGAAAACACAAAAAUAUAUAUACAUGGUAUUAGCAAUAUCAUAUAGGUGGACUCAUGAGCACCACCAAUGCAUCCAUGUUUGGCACGACACGACAUGAAGAUAGAGGGAUUACGGUCCUGCCUAUAGGUGGACUCUAUGUCAAUGCAUAACAAAUGGUGUUGGACUAACAUAUAUAGAGGAGAUGAUGAAAGUGGGUCCCAACAACAACAUUAGUGAGGUGAUGUGGUAGUGUUGACGCUGAUGGUCAAAGAUGCCACAUGGACAAAAAGGGUAGAGUGGGGCCUGGGCGUGAAGGACAUGGUCGAGAUGCUAGGGGUGAUGAAGGCGUGGCGGGCAAUGGCAAUGCUGCUGCUCGACGUGGUAGCAUAGGUGUUGCGGGAGAGAGAGAGAGAUAGGGAAAAAAGAGAAAGAGCAGAAGGAUAGGGAGGAAGAAGAAAUAGCUAGGACAAAAACAAUAUUUUAUUAGAGUUCUCUUUUCUAAGCUAAAAUCGGAAAAUAUAAUAGAUGUGGUGUUGUUCAGUAAAUUUAUCAUAAACUAGAGUGCUAACUAGUCCAUUCGAUUUUUUUGUUUGAUGGUAAUCGAGUAAUACGAUAUCAUUUUUAGUAUCCGGUGGUAAUAUUAUCAAUGAUAUAUUGAUGUCAGUGAACGGCUAGUCUCAAUGGAGGUUUUAUGACUUAGUUUCUAAAACAAUUAUAUUUUGAAAACAAUGCAGAAGAGUUUCAUCUGUAUAAAACUAUCUCUAUUCUUAUGAAACUCUUAUCAUAUUUGUUCAUCAAUAUAGUGCCACAUCAGCAUAUUUAAUGUGUAUGAAAUUUUCAUCAAACCUCCAUCGAGACUGGUCUAACGCUGUUUGUUAACAUUACCAAUGCUGCUAGUUGACACUGUUUUUUUUUUCUUUUAUACACUCUGCAAUGAUCGCUGUGUGCCUGUGUCGACUACUCGGUGCUCUUGUCCUUUUGGAGCACAAUGUGUGAUGACGCGUCUCUAAACCGUCCUAGCAGAGCAAACAAACCUGUCGGCAGGGAGGGGCCUCUCCAGCAAAGUGUCAUCCUAACAGAACAAACAUGUCCUGCAGAUCUGAGCUUUGACGUCUUAACCAAAAGAUCCUAGUACCCAAUACUAGUACUGUAAUUAACUGUUCAUCAGAACGAAACUAAGUUCAAAAACAGGAAAGUAUCAGAUCGAGCUGAACCUUUUUCCACUCUGCCAAUAACUCUGUAUAAUUUCCAUUUCAAGAUAAUCUUAUUUCGAGAAAAAAGCAAAUAAAUUUUCCCACACCUGAGUCACUGCAGUGUUCAGUGUGAUCAACGGAGAAGAAAGGGCACACUUUUCUGCACGCACCAAAUUGACAGCUUGCAUCAUUAUUCUUUCGUCCGCUUCAAAUAUUGUCUGACAACUUGCGAUUUUCUUUCGGUCUUGAUCGCUUCAAAAGAAUUGUCAACUUGCUUGGUACGUAGCACGUUAUAAUAAUUAUAACCAGGCCAAUCCAUCCAUCCAACUGGCCAGACGUGGCACAUUUAGGAGCAAAUAUAAAAUUGCGUUGUAGUCCCAUGUUGACAGAGAUUCAGCUAAUUAUAUCGUGUACGGCGAAUAUAUAAUACAAAAGCAAAUCGAGAAAGUGGCAGGCAAUAAAUCUCAAUUUGCGCAAUCAACAUGUAGAGGCGUAGGGCAUGGCAGGCGGCGGCUUUAUUUGAUGUGUUAUUGUCAGAAAUCAGUGAUCUGCUUUAUAUUUCCGUAGGGAGUGCAGAUAGUUUUCAUCAUCAGAAAUAAAAGAGGAGAAUGGUAUUCUUUUUACCAAGCAUACUUAGGGAUGAUCGGUCUAGCAUGGCGAGUGUGUGCGUUCUGCUCCAUGCCCUAUGGAUGUCAUGACAAAACUAACAUUAUUUUCCUAUGAGAAACGCAAAUAUGCAACCGUCGCUAUGGCGCGACCUGUGCCGAAGCACCCACGUUCGCAUGGCGAUGGCGGUUAGAUUAGGGUUCCGGCAACGACCUUAGAAGGAGGUUGGUGGAGGCGGGCAAGACAGUAGAGGGGGCGUCGCGGGGGAGCUUGCUAGCAGUGGGGGCGUCACGGCAGAGCUCAGCGGCGCCGUGAGAUUAGGGGCUAGUUGAGAGUGGCGCGACGAGGCAACUUAUGCCAUCUGCCAGUGAUGGGGGCGAGGGCGAGGAUGAGGGCAGAGCUCGCCGGCGGCUUCCUUGAAUUUAGAGGAGGAUAGGUUCGAGGGGCGGGGAGGAGAAAAGGGAUCACGUGAUUCCAAAUCACGCACCACAUUGUGCAAUAAACUUGUUCUUUUUGUACAAUUAUUUUUGAGUUGCGAGAUCCUGAUGCUGGCAUGAUGAAUUUAUAAGUUUUUUUUGGAAGAACAGGACUGAAUUAAAAAAACAAAAGUCAAAAUUGUCAGAUACUUUCUUCAUAACUACUUGUCAGAUACUUUGGUCUUUGCGUUUGUACAUGCUGGAAGUGGAAGCUCAACAAGCGACCUAAAAAACUACGCAUUAGUGAAUACUGAUGCGCGUCAUCCUCAACAGAUCCAUUUUCGUAUCCUCCCUGCAAUCACCAUAUCAACUCAUCGGUGCGCUUGUCCUCUCCUCCCAAGACACAACAUCCACGUCAUCCAUAACGGCCCUAUAUAGAACAAUCGUAUCUGCCGUUCGAGCCUUUGCUCCGAGCACCGGUUGUUAUAACGCCAACGCCACAACUGUCGUCUGCAGAGCUUCGACGUCUGAACAAACAAAACAUCCCUGCUAACUGCCAUCAUAAACUACAUUUCCACCCGGCAAGGAAGGAAGCGAUUAAAAAUAGAGCCGGUUCUUCACCAGCCAUGAGGCCACGCGUCAUAACGACGGCAAGAAAGAUGCUCGUGUACCAGGCCAGCAGGUAGCACGUAGUAGUACGCUCGAUAUUGCUGUACGGCCAACGCCGACAGGAUGAUCUGCAGGCAGUACUUGGUUUGUCUUUCGUGAUUUGUCAUAAAAAUCCAGCCUCGUCGAUCGAUCACGGAUCCCCCCCAACCACGCUACCAGCCGAGACGAUCGAUCAAGUCUGUCAGUCGUCGCUGCAUCCAUCUGAAUUUCUUUUUGAUUCCCUACGGCUUCCGGGCUCCUUCCUCGUGUCAACUUCACUCCACACGUCCAGCAUCACGCCAUUGUUUAUAGCUUCUCCGCCCCCACAACCACACCUCGCCGACGCCCCCCGCGUGUAUAAGUAGCCUCGGGUUCACGAGCUUGCAGUUGCAGUGCGCAGUUCAGUGUGGGCGUGUGUGGUCGAGAGGCGGGCCGGGACCGGGAGCGAAGCUCGCCAGUUGAUAGCACAGGUCGCCGGCCGUGAGUCCAUCGUGUGGGUUCGUGACCACCGAUUCAUCUGAAGUCAAGAAAUGGCAACGAGCGAGCUGCCGUCGGAGUCGGACGCGUUCGCCUUCCCGUGCCGCGACGACGACGGGACGGGGACGCCGCUGUCGCCACCGGUCGUGAUCUCGGUGCUCGCGUCCAUCCUGGAGCGGCACAUCGCCCGCAACGAGCGGGCCCUGGCGGCCGCCGCGGCGCCGGGAGACGCCGCCGCCGCCGCCGACGACGACGACUCGGCAACGAGGAAGAGGGCGCGGGCGUUCGACAGCGGCACGGAGCUGGACAUGAGCGUGCACGCGUUCCUGGAGCGCUUCGCCCGGUACGCGCACGUCCCGCCGCAGGUGUACGUGGUGGCGUACGCGUACCUGGACCGGCUCCGGCGCCUCGGCGACGCCGGCGUGCGCGUGGUGCGCGGCAACGCGCAGCGCCUGCUGACCACGGCCAUCCUCGUGGCGUCCAAGUUCGUCGAGGACCGCAACUACAGCAACUCCCACUUCGCGGCGGUGGGCGGGCUGGCCCCGGCGGAGCUGGGCGCGCUGGAGCUCGACUUCUUGUUCCUGUUGCAGUUCAGGCUCAACGUCUGCACGGCCGUGUUCCGGAGCUACUGCCGACACCUGGAGCGGGAGGUGAGCCACGGCGGCUGGUACCGCGUGCAGAGGCCGCUCGAAUACAGGGCGCUCGUCGUCUGCGCCGGUGAAGCGCGGGCGCAGCACCGCCAGGCAGCGGCAGCGUAGUAAAAGCUUAGCUCUGAGUCUGAGACAAGUUUGCAGAGCUGGGUGAUCAUCUCUGUCUGCGUCAUCCGCCGGCGACCACUGGGGAUUGAGAGCUGCGGCGUCGCCGCCACAGGCACGCUGGUAGAGAAGGUGUCGGUGCCCGAAGGGCGCACGGAAUGUACUGUACAUAGAUAGCAUAAUGAGUAAUCAUGGUUUGCACUACGAGUUUAGUGGCCUUGAGUUUAGACUUGCAAGCAUUGUUCUCCGUUGGCAAUUAGCAAGUGUCCCUUUUACCAUGAUUGGAAAAAAAAUUAUAUAUUCGAAGAGGGGGAAAAAAAAAAGGUGACUGCUUCUCUAGUCUUCUCGAAAGAAGAAGAACGCUUUUAACAAGAUCAUAAACAAUUGGUUCCAGCAGCUAACAGAACGGAUUGGGAUUCUGGGUGUUUGAUAGCGAAAUAAGUAAAAGAUUAGCAUCAACAGGGACCAGCGCUAACUUUGCCAUCACUUUACCUCAAGUCACGGCUCACGAUGGAUGGCCAAAUUGCCAACCAACGAGACCAAAUGAUUCCAUAUCAGACGCGGAAAAGAGCUGGAAAAAAACGUUAUAUAUUUGCAUGAUGCGAUCGUGUUGUCGGUGCGACAUCGCCGUCAGCUAACUUUGCACAUCAUAAAAAGGCGGUGGGCACAGCACCGGCGCAGCGCAGGCACAGCAGAGGACCUCCCGCGCGCUGCAGCAACCCAUCUGCCUCGCCCCCGCGACACGACCCAUACGGUACGGACGCGCCUCCGUUUGCUCCAAGGACCAGAAACUGACGAAGCAGAUGUGAAGUGAAGAUGCCGAUGCCCCUGGACCUGGUCCAUGCUGAGGGUCUGUAGUGCAACUCUCCAAAGUCCAAACACAUGGGCAAAAAUAGCUGAGGGUCUGUAGUGCAACUCUCCAAAGUCGAAACACAAGUCCAAACACUUCAGAUCAUGUUUUGUCAUGGCAUAUGUGGGUAAUUUAAAUAUAGAUUCAUCGGUUGUGUUAUAUUGUUUUUCACAGUAGCGAGGUUGGUUAUUAUUUGGAAAAAAAAUAGAAUAGACCCCAAGGUUAUUAGCAUUAAGGGUGAUUAAAGUCUACUGAACUAGGAGGAUUCCCCGCGCGUUGCUGCGGGUAUGAAGGGAAAUAUAAAUAUGGUCUCACUCUAGUCUAUUGAGUCAUCUAUAUAUAGUUUUAGUAGUUAGUUUCAGAAGAGAAAGAGAGAAGAUCACGUGAGAGAAUAAUUGCUAGUAGUGUGCAUGCAUGGUCAUGUCUAGGUAUAGCUGCAUCCACUACUGAAACCAUUUGUGAGUGGGCAUUUAAUUGCAUGCAGUAGCAGGAGAAAGUGGAUGAUGAUGUGGCGCAAGGAGGUGUAAGAGAAUUAGUUUAGUGGGGUUUGUCUUUAUAGGAUAUAUAGAUUGAUGGUAAGACAAUUCUAUUUUUCAUGAGAAUUUCUAAGUUUUUUUUCUACCACCUCUUGUGAGCAUUGAUCUGGAGGCUCCAUUGGAAGCAUCUAUAUAGAAUAUAUAUUGUGUAUUUUAUUUCAGAUUUUUUACAUGUAGUUUGGGGAAGUAUUGUGCCAAGAUUUAAUACAAGUCAUCCUUUCCUUCCCAAAAGAACAAUAUAAAUAGUCAUUUUAGCUUCCACCACAGUAACCAUGAUGUUGAAUUUACUAUAUAAAAGUAGUAUUACAUGUGGUGGCAAAAGAGCUUGUAGCCUAGUGGUUAUAAUAGCCUCAGUAGCAUCUCAGGUCCUGGGUUACUCCUGGUGGGAGCAAAUAUUUUAGGACUAAAACGUGUUUGUACUCAGUUGACAACGAGGCUUCUAUGGUGACUUCAUCAAUCUUGAGAAUUUAUCAGUCUUGUCUUUGAAGAUGCUCAUAGGGGUAGAGUUUGUUUACGUGCGUUUAUAGGGAUGAGUAUGCAUAUGUUGUGAGUAUCUAAGAUGUACUAUGUAAUCACAAAAAUUAUAUUAUAUCGGUGUUCAAGAUUGUUACCAAAGUUCCCACUUUGGGGCCCAAAAAAGUGGCUAAUAGGAUCAUUGCUAAAACUCAAACUGUAUUUAUUCAUGGUGGGUUUAUUUUUUAUUGAGGGGUGAUUUUGUGUGAGGCUUUACAUGAACUGAAGAGGACAAAGAAGCAAGGAAUUAAUUUGAGAAAACUUAUGAAAAAAGUUAACUUGAAUUGUUUUGAAAUAGGUGAUGCAAAUGAAAGGUUUCAUCUAUAAAUGAUGAGUUGGAUGCUGAAAAUAGUUAGUAGAGGAAGAGUUGCUAUAAUUGUGAAUGGCGAGAGGGGGUACUUAGGAGCUACAGAGGACAUCCUUUGUCUCUGCUAUUGUUUAACCUUUCGCCUAUAAAUGAUGAGUUGGAUGAUGAAAAUAGUUAGUAGAGGAAGAGUUGCUACAAAUGUGAAUGGAAAAAGGGGUACUUAGGAGCAACAAAGGACAUCCUUUGUCUCUACUAUUGUUUAACCUUAUUAGUGAUGCUUUGGAUGAGAUUUUCAUAAAAAUUAGGGAGAAUGGUUUAAUCUAAGGUCUAAUCCCUAAGCUAGUUCGGCUCAUUUGCAAUAUGCUAAUGAUACUAUUCUCUUCCUAACAACUUCGUGCACCAACUUGAAGUUUAUUCUAACUUGCUAUAAGGAAAUGAUAGGGAUGAGAAUAAAUUAUAUGGUGUUUGUAGUAGGUUUUGUAGAGGAGGAUGUUUGGGGCAUCUGACGUCAUACAAAAAUCAAACUUAGUGGACAAAUCAAUAAAUUUUGUAAUAGACAACAAGCCUAGAAAUGUGGUCACAUAUCCUUUGAUGGUAAAUAUAUCUUAUUGAACUUUAGCCUUAUCGUAAUUCCAAUUCACAUCAUGGGAUUCCAUUGUAUUCAUGAGAGAGCACACCAUCAACUGGUCUUGUCGAGAGGAAGAUUCAUUUAACAAUGAGUCGGUAAUAAGAAGAAAUAUCACAUGAUCAAAUAGAAAGGGUUUGUGAAACCCAAUUACUUCGGUAGUUUGGGUUUUGUAGGAACUAGAACAAUGAAUGCACCCUUUUUCAUAAAAUGGAACUAUAGAGUUGACAGUGGGGUGCAAAGUAUGUGAAUCAAUAUUUUGAGGAAGGGAUAGCUAAAUAAUAAAAGUAUAUUUCAGGUUACUAAUAAAGGAGCUUCCCAAUUUUAGCAGGGGAUUCACUUAGUUAAACAUUUGUUCGAAAGAGGAAGAGCUAUGUUUAAGACUAGAACUAGGGGGUGUUUGGUUAGGUGGUGCUAUGGCAUAGUGGUACGAAAUGGAAUUAAAACUAGGAGAAAUGGACCUCACUAAACAAGUAUACCAAGUGUGCUGGAAAUUAAAGAAAUCAAGGAGAUUUUCUCCUAUCCAAGUAUACAUUUAUCAUAUUUAGUGGAGUGAUACACCAAAGGAUGAUAGGUAUCUAUAGUGCAAAAAGUACCCAAAAGAUACAUGUUUUUAUUUGGUUGGUUUGGCACGACAGGUUGCAAACUACUCUACGAUUAGUGUGGAGAAAUUAGGAUGGUUACAAGAAUUGCAAGCUUUGUGGAGUGCAGGGAACAAUUUACCAUUUGAUGUUCCAUUUCUCUAUUGUUAUCCUAGUCUAGUGCUAGGUGCAUGCGAAUUUUAAAUCCAACUCGCUCAACCUCACAGGGAGGAACACUGACAAAUCCAUAAAGUUUAUCCUGAAUCCUUAUUUGCAAUUUCUGAAUUAGUUUGGUGCUUCCUUGCAAGCUAAACAUGGCCCUAAGUGAAAUGCAUAAGUUUUGUAUGUUGUAGCCAUGAGGCUAGCAUUGCUAGUUCUUUUGAUAAGGUAACCAGUAUAUUUGAAAGUCAAUUGAAAAUUAGAGACUAAAUUAAAUUUAAAAAGAGCUCAUUAUUAACUUGAUAAAUAAAAUAGUAUUAGUUAGUACUUCAUACCGCAACAGUGUCAAGCUCAUUACUAACUUUAUAAAUAAAAUAAUAUUAGUCAGUACUUCAUUACCACAACAAUAUGCAUGAAAGGAUUUUUAUAAGGUACACCAAUGGUUAAACCAAUAAAUAGAUUAAAAGCGAAAUUGUGGAAUCCUAGAAAUAGGUAGUCGAUUAGUUAAGACCCGAUCAUACCGCUACUGCCCUUACGAAAUAAUAGCAUCAAAUUUCUCGGGAUCGUGUCACCCAAGGAAGAUGGAUAGCUAAAGAAGGCUACAGUAGCAUAAAUAACUAGUGGUUAACCGCCAUUAGACGUAUCCAACUUGACCCUCUCAAGGACCAGUGGUUUUAGAUAUUUCCCGCCGAUUACUACGGAAAUUCUUUUUCUCAUCCCAUACUUGCACAAUUUCUUAGGCUGACAGGUGUGUCUGAGGCGACUAGGGGACCUAACAACCCUUGAUUUCCUUGCCAUGUGUCACUAGCUUAACCAGUAGAAGGAGCACAUCGCUGCCAAAGAGCUUGUAUAUAUAUAGCAAACACAACGAUUAAGCAGUUGAAAGAAAAGGUUUGCUGCAACUGUGACCACCAGAGGCGUACGUGUGGCGCUAUAGCUUGGAAGGCACCGUCAUGAACAGCAAAUCUGUCGCCCGGUAAUGUGUGAAUCCCCAUUGUCCCUGGUACAUGCAUGCAUGCGCACUUCUUCACAGCACAUUAGCUUGACCUUUCUAUCACCACGUGUUACCAUGAACAACUGUGACCUCCAGAUGCAUGCGGUGCUAUAGCUCCGAAGACGACAUCGUCGAGACCAUCGAAUCUGUCGUGCGGCAAUGUGCGAAUCUCUAUCAUCCCUGGUACGUGCAUGCACACUUGCUUCUCUACAUCACAUUAAUUCAUUAGCAGAGCUAGAAACUUUUAGGAGCCUGGUUAAUUCUUAUCAUGCAAAAGUAUUUAGCUAGAAAAUUACAGGAUCUAUUUUGAUAUAAAGAAAAAUUUCUUUUGAACAUCGGCAACAAGCCCGGCCGGUGUCCUGGGGUGGCAGGGCGGUGGCUCCGCCACUGCAUUAAUUUGACCUUUCCUCUCACCAUAUGUUACCUUGAACAGAUGCCACCAUCUCCAUCACCACCACAACCGUCUAGGCCGCCGGGACAGUCACCGGAGUACAAGCACUUCUGUCGAGUAUGCAACAAGGGGUUCACGUGCGGCAGUGCGCUCGGUGGGCAUAUGAGAGCCCACGGCGCUAGUGACGUCGACGGCUUCGGCGCCGACGAUGACUUGCUCGGCGAUGAGGCGUCCACACGAUGCCUAGCUGCAGAUCAGUGGGACACGGUGGGAACGUCGGCGACUCAUGCGUACGCGCUUCGGGCGAAUCCGAACAGGCUGAUCAGGAGCUGCCAGCUGUGCAAAAACUGUGGGAAGGAGUUCACGUCAUGGGAGCUUUUUCUUCAACAUGGUAAAUGCAAUUCAGAGGAUGAGGAAGAAGAAGAGGAGGUGGAUGGGUUGGGCUCGCUACGUUCACCGUCGCCUCCCUCGGACGCCGACAGUGAGGAGGAUCCAACGGUGGCAGCCGCAUGGUCAAAAGGAAAGCGAUCGCGCCGCGUCAGAGCGGAGGAGACUUCUACCGUGGCGCCGCCGGAGCGGUGCACAUUAGGAGAGGAGGAGGACCUCGCAAAUUGUCUCGUCAUGCUCUCAUCCUACAAAUCCAACAGCAAGCAGCAGACGACUAUUACUGCAACGGAUCAUCAUGAGCCUGCAUGUGCAUCUACCAAGAAAGGUGAUGGAGAGCCACCAUUGCAAGUGCAACCAAUCUCUUUUUUCACACAGACACAAGAGUCAGUUAUGGCACUGCCUUCGCCAGUAGCUAUGGUGCCACAGUACAUAUCACCCGCAUCACGUGGAGUUUUUGAGUGCAAGGCAUGUAAGAAGGUGUUCACCUCGCACCAAGCACUUGGUGGGCACCGGGCCAGCCAUAAGAAAGUGAAAGGCUGUUUUGCUGCCAAGUUUGAGAGCAAUGCUAGUGAACCAACACGCCAUUCAACGGUCAUUGAUACCAACAAUGGCAACGGCACUAGCAAUGGCAAGGCUACUGCUGUCGAUGAAGGCAAUGCAGGUGCAAGCACAGAUGCCACAAGAGUUUUCGCUACAACUGGCGUCGAGGCCAAUGUAGGGAUGAGUACUGAGGCAACAUCAUCACUGUCAAUGGCGCUUUUGCCCAUCGGACACAAUCCAUCAGCCGCCACCACGCUCGCCGUCGCAGCGCAAUGCAAGAAAAAUGCCAAGAUGCAUGAGUGUUCAGUAUGUCACCGCCUGUUCACCUCUGGGCAGGCACUCGGAGGCCACAAGCGAUGCCACUGGCUCACCUCAAACACAUCGGAUCCUUGCAACCCGGUGGCCAAUGUGAUCCCACCCCUAACUGAAGAUCUCGUCGGCGUAGUCAAACACCAGCUCAGCCUCCGGCCGAUGGUGGACGCGCCUGAGCCAGUGCUCGACCUCACAAUCGCGGCAAACCCGGUAGCACUAGCUGCUUCCACGGCGCGACCUGAGGCCACCAACAGCUCUUUCCGUCUCGACGUAGCACCGGUGCACUUGCCGCCACUGGUCGUCGCCGUUCCAGGUAAUGUUAGCCAUCAGAAGAAGGAUGUAGCGACGAGCAGCCAUGCCACGGAUGCGGUGGCGGAGGAAGACGAGGCGGACAGCACCACAGCCAAGAGAGCUAAGAUUAGCGACCUCAAAGACAUGGUGAGCAUGGACGGUGAGCCCAUGGAACCAUGGCUUCAGGUUGGCAUUGGUUCCUCAUCGGCCGCAGGAGAUGAUAGUUGACAAGGGCUGAGAAUCAACUAUUGAUCGAUCGACUAUGAGGUAUUACGAUACAUAUUAUUGUAUUAACUACUAACUCUAGCUCAGAGCAUGAAUGUACAAUUUGUGGAGUCUACUUUCUACUUUGAUUUCUCUUUUUUUAUUUAUCUAGGUUAGUAUAUACUUGCAUAAUCAUUGUAAGACUGAAAUGUACUUCGGUUAAAGACUAAUUAAAAGAAACAAUAUGGAAGACAAUAUUUUUCUCUUGCUACAUUAUUUGUUCUAUAAUUGAUCUUUGUAGCAUCAAACUUUAGCCGUCUGAAAUUUCUGGGUUAGCAUAUGAUUUUGUGGCUUCGUAUAUUGUACUUGAUGAUGGACCACUCUACUCAACACUGAGUGUUUUAGGGGCUUCUAACACUCAGGUGUUGCAUGCCACCAAAACACUCAAUUGGGAACCCAAACAAAAUUGAGGGUUUCUUAUGCAUAGAACACUCAAUUGUUAAGACCAUAGGAUCUAGAUUGCAUGAACCAAAUAAAAUUUAUAAAAAAUACAAAAAUAUUAAAUAAACAUAAAAAAUAUCCAGAUUAUUUCAAUGGAAGCUAAAUUGGAAGGUUUCAAAAGGGAAUGAAAUAGAACAUACAGAAAAUAAUCAAAGCAAAAAAGAUCAAAUAAUUGUUGAAGUAAUUAUGGCCAUUCUCAUCUACAAACAAUAAAUUUAGACUAAUUGAAUACAAAACUUGCACCCAAACAAGAAUAGUAAAAUAUGAUUUAGUAAGAUGUAAUCUGCAAAUAGUAAGCAUGGAACGAAUCUUCCGUGCUUUCUAUAACUUUCUCGACUAGUGAUUGUGGUCUCGACGUAGUGUGUGCAUAAAAGAUGGAUCGAGCGACGCACAUGCAUGACCCAUGGUGGGGUCCACCCUAGUGUCUGCUGAACCUAGCGCAGAGGGUGAGGUGGGUGACAUAUGAGCUCGGAUGGUUUUUAAGACACGGAAGUAGCGGUUUCUAACUCAACAACAUCACGCGGACGCGGUCACCAACACAUGGUUCCGAUGCCCAGGAAAUCGAGUGCGUGCACAUAUAAGAACAGCCGAGCACCUGAUAAUGCAUCCCGCAUUUCGGCGGUUGAUGUCCGCUUUUUUAGCUCGACUUAGAGGAGCAUGUCGUACUUGGGCUGCUCCCCUUGCCCGGUAGGCACGGCUCGGUCCGUAUUUUAAUGGUAGGCCUAGUAGGGGCCCAGUUAGCUAGCCGGGAGGGGAAUGAUCUCUCCAAGUUGCCCCUCUCUCAUCCCCAAAACCCUAAUCAUUUGUUCACCUCCUCCCCCCCCCCCCCCGCACCGCACUUGCUCAAUCGCUCUUGGCCUCUUGCCUCCCUCUCGCUGUCACUGCCAUCGCCUCCACCCUCGUUCUCGGUGUGACCCCUCCACCAUCAUAUCUCGCCUAUCUCUUGGCGAAUAUCGCUCUCCUCCGCCUUCGCAGCUCACCUUUGACCUCCCAACUCUCAUUUGCCUCUCGGCGUCUCACUGCCACUCGUUGCACGUCGUCGCUAGAAGUUCGUCAUCCGUCCGUUGAGGGUUGUGCUGCCGCUCUAUGUUCUACUCUAGCUUCGGGCUCUAUCUCUGCAGCUAAAGUAACCCUAACACUAGCUGUCCACAUUGCAUCAUGUAGUUGAGAACCAAGAGUUUGAAGAGUCCUUCAAAAAUGUGUGGCUAAAUGGAGAUGGAGAAGGUUCUGCAACCUGAAGGAGUGAAGAUGGACUGGUGGCCUAGUGCUAGACUACUAGUGACAUUGUGUCUUUGUCUUGUGUCUUCUGUUGUGUCUCAGAGAGAGCGAGAUAGUGAUGAGAAACUGAGUGUGAAUGGCAUUUGUGAGACUGAAAGUAUGUUUCAUGUUUGGACUUUGAUCUACGUUUUGUAAGACAAUAAACAUUUGAGCUUUGAGUUGGUUGUACUUUUUUUCCUUUCUAGGAUUUGACAUAAGGGUGGGUGAGUUUUACUUAUAAAAGUUUUAAAGCAGACAACAUUGCACAUUGCCAUUUUCAUUUCCUACUGUUCUUCAAUCUCUUAACUUAGACAAUGACAUUUUGUUGAGUGUUGAUCUUCUUUAAUUUCAAAUGUGAAAUGAGAACAUUAAAUAUAGUUGGUUGAGGGGUUUUGAGGAUAGCGAGUCUGAGUUGGUCUGACCUGGUAAUUUGGUUGUACUUUCCAGUCUAGCUUGGCACAAAAAAUGUCUAGACCGCUAGUCUGGCACAGUGUCUAGUUAGGCACAACUUACUGGCCUGAUGCCAUCGGGCCAUGCCGUGUUGGCGGUCUGAAUGACCAUCUCUAACUAGGCACAUUAGGUCUAGGUAAUGCAGUAAUGACGCUUACUUGAUUUAAGGAUCAUGAAGUGGAUCCUUUCAGUGAAGAUCUGAGUACAUAGCUUGGAGUAGAGUAGUAUUCCCUCCGUCCUUAAAUAAUUAUCUUUUUUAGUUUUCGUGCCGCAAGUUUAACUAGAUUUAUAAAAAAGAUGUGUAAUAUUUGUAACUUCAAAAAAAACAAUUACGAAAAUAGAUUUCGAUGAUCUAUCUAAUUACAUUAAUUUAUACCAUAAAUAUUAUUAUUAUAUAUAUUUAGUAAAAAUUAUUUCUCAAGAAGCGAAAAUAAUAGUUAUUUAGGAACGGAGGAAGAAGCAGACUAGCGAGUGAUUAUCUACUGGUACAUUGACUACUGUUCUGCUUAAAACACCAUGAUUCCGUAGCGUUCUGCAGUCACCGCAACUCCUGUCAUGCGAUUGGCUUGUACUAUUACUGUGAUCACCAACCGUCCGGUUACAAUUUCUUGUGUUCUUUUCUUUCUACUCGGGCCUUGUCUAGUUCGCGAAAAAUUGUAGGCUUGCUUACUGUAGCAUUUUUCUAUUUGGCAAUUCUUAUCUAAUCAUGGACUAACUAAGUUUAAAAGAUUUAUCUCAUAAAUUACAACAAAUUGUAUAAUUAGAUAUAUUUAAUACUUCAUAAUCGUACAUAUAUCUAAAGAUUUGAUGUGAUGAAAAAUUUUGAAAACUAAACAAGGCCUUAAUUAUCUAACGAUGAUUGCAGGCAUCCAAAGAAGAAGAGGAGCAGCAGGACGCAAGUGUCAGGAAAGGAAGAACGGGCAAAAGAGUUGGGUAUAUUAGCCGAAUUUGCUACUCAUUCAGAAGUAUUUUUCUCUUAUAACAAAUUAUUGAACAAUAUUUUUUGUCAUGGCUUAUCAGCCAAAAACGAAGAGAACAAACCUUAAACCUUAUACUGCCAUAUGAAUAUGACCUCAUCGAUUGACAAUUACCCCCGUUGUCUUAUAUUAAAUUUGCGUAUGUGUCAAACAUUCGAUACAAUAUAAAGCCGAAUUGCCCGUCGAAUUCAUAUCCAAAAUUCCGCUGUCAUACUCUACGGCCUUGUUUAUUUAGGUACUGUAGCACAUUUGUAACUAUAACAAUUAAUAUCUAAUCAUAGACUAACAAUGCUCAAAAGAUUCAUCUUAUAUGUAAUUAAUUGUUUUUUAUCUAUAUUUAAUGUUCCAUACAUAUGGCUAAGCAUUUAAUAAAAUGAAGUAAAAAGUUUUUGGGUGCAAGCUAAACAAAAGAUUGAUACCAGUUUUUGUUUCAGAACUGCCAGCGCUAGUAUCAGUAAGGCCUUGUUUAGUUUCAAAAAAUUUUUGCAAAACAGGUACCGUAGCACUUUCGUUUGUUUGUGACAAAUAUUGUCCAAUCAUAGACUAACUAGGCUCAAAUGAUUCAUCUCAUCAAUUCCGACCAAACUAUGCAAUUAGUUUUUAUUUUCGUCUAUAUUUAAUACUACAUGCAUACGUCUAAAGAUUCGAUGUGACGGGAAAUCUGAAAAAUUUUGUAAAUUUUUUUGAACUAAACAAGGCCUAAAUAAUAACUGGCACAACCUGCAGUUGCUGGCAGUCACGCAUGAUAAGCAUGCUGCUCCCGCAACGCUGGAACACGGCAGUGCUGGCCUUCAGUGCGGCGGCACGCAUCCAAUAUGCCGGAAAAAUCUGAAAGUGGCUGGUUUCCUUCUCUAUCUAUAUAUAUCAAUAAAAUAAUACAAGCACCGUCUCAUGCUUGUUCCUGCUGGAAUUUAUAGAGUUUUCCAUUACAAAAUUGGAAUUUGAGUUGAAGCCAAAUUUGGAUUAAGAAAAAAAAAACGAAAAUAAAAGAAAAGAGGCUGCUAUGCUUAUGGACCUGUGCCGCUGCAAGGCCCUUAAGGCCGAGCAGCCCAGCCAGGCCUCGUUGGUCUUCUGAUGCGGGUUCCUCUGAUGCGCACCUCGGCAAGACGAGGGUUUCCAUGUUGGUCAGCUCCAACCUUGUUGGGCUGCUGUACUUCCAUGUCAAUUAGAGGAGCUGCAGCCCAAUGUGGCGGUGACCGCCGUUCCGGGGCCAGGAAUGUGCAAGGAAAGACAUAGGAAAAAAUUCACUCUUCCUCCAUCUAUUUUUAUGGAAGUCCGUUUUUUCUCGCUGAAUUUUAAUAUCAGAUAAAUUACCUCUUUUAAUUUUUUAAACUAUGCAUUUACCUCCACCCAGUUUCAAGCGGUUUUAAAGAUGAUUUUGUCUUUUUUAUUUCAAAUAUUUUUUGAAAAAAAAUCAUAUUAAAUCACAAAAAAUCAUAAAAUAGAAAACCUAAUUUUGUUCGUCUCAUAAAUUACAGAAAAAUUAUACAAUUAAUUAUUAUUAUUUAUUUAUAUUUAAUGUUUCAUGCAUACACUGCAAGAUUCGGUGUACCGUGAAAUUUUAAAAAAAUUUUGGAUUUUGGGUGGAACUAAACAAGGCCUUAGAUAAAUCUCCAACCCAUCCAUACUUCUACGAGUUAGAGCGACAUAGUGUAAGGUAAGUUGUUCAACACACCAACACAAUAAGUUGCGUCAUGUUGCAAUGCAAUAACAUGUUUGCUAGUAAUAUUUAAAUUCGAUUUACGUUAUGAUAAAUAUCUUGAGUAGAUUCAAAAGUUUGCAUAACGGUGAACUAAUAACCAUUCAACCAAGCAUUUGAAAUUCUUUUAUAAAUGAAGUUUUUAAAAAAAAUUCCAAGCACAAUAAGAAGAUUUAAAAAGUACUCCCUAGAUAGCUCCCAAAAUUAAAGUAAAGGUCAACAAAUUCUAUGGACUAUCAAUCUGCAUACCAGAUCAGUACUCGUGUGCUCUAGAAGAAGAAUAUAAUCCUUGACCACAUGUUCCUACUGCAAAACCGCCAUAACUAAAACCUUGGCCCUAUUUCGAAGUGUUUUUUUUUUCUUGUUCCUGUGUUUUCUCUGUGAAGUUGAACUAAUUUCUUUAAGAUUGGUAGACUAAGUGUUGAGCCAAUGAAUAAUUCAGGUUUUGGUCAGAGCGGUAUUUAUAGUCUGCAGAAAACUAGCAUACGUUCAACUAGGCAAAAGCAACGGAUGCCUAACGGACUAACGAUGAUUCUCUCCCGGAAAUACGCCGUGGCCAAGACAUACUGAUACAGCCAUAAACACUUGGCUGUUACUGUUGCUUCACUGUAGUCGUAUUUUUCUACUACUACUACUACAUUUUUUACCACUCCUCAAUGUUCGUUUGACUGAUAAGUCAUGACAGAAAGUACUAUUGAUUGAAUUGUUGUAAGAGAAAAAACACUACUGAAUGACUAGUGGUAUUCGGAGAAUCACAGCAGGGAAAUGACGGGAGAACAACAAGCGCUGCUGCUGGCGGACGUCCGGCCAUCCGAGCUACAGGCCUACAGCCGUGGCGUAUGAGCUCAUCACUUGCCCGGCUGCCUCAUAUUCACCAGCAGUCGUGCCCUGCAUGUUAGGCGAAAAAACCAUGGCUCAAAUUACUAGUCACUGAUUUACUGUAAGAGAAAAAUACUGUUGAAUGACUGAUAUAUUCGAUAGACAAGCUUAAGUUUGAAUUUAUGUGUCAACCAUUUAGCGGUAUUUUUCUAUAGUAGCAUCACGGAGCAUUGGAUUGACAUUGCACCAGUAUUUUUUUCAAAGGAAAGUUUAGGCAUUGGCCUGUUCGUUCAGCUGGCUUCCGCUGGCUGUAGCUGUGGCUGGCUGCUUUCUUGCCUACUCAACAGUGUUUGCUGCAGUUGCUCCUACACGGCUACUACACACUACACUACACAUGGCCCGUCUACAGCACAGUCGAUGGAUGCUUGAGCAAGAAUGGUGCCGGGCGAGGGCGAUUAACUUUGGAGUAGGUGUUUAGUGGGGUAAUCAUGUGAAUCGGCGCGCACCUACUGCCAGGAAAUCUCGAAAGCGGUUGGUUGGAAUUGGAAAAGCACGCCGAGCAGGCGCAGGAAAAGCGCCUCCAUGACUCCACGUCGCGCAGCCAGGCAGCCAGACUGCCACAGGCACAGCCCACCCACAGGCCACAGCCCACGGGGCCGGGGGCAGCACGCUGAGCCGAUGCUUUGCUCGCUUGCUAUUGCUAAGCUCUAAUUCUGGUCUUUUUUUUCGAGAUAAAAGUAUUACAUUCUUUGAUUUAUUACGAGAAGAGAAAACACUGCUGAAUACUGACAAAUUUGAUAAAUAAACUCAAACAAAUAUGCUCAUCAAGCCUUGCUAUUCUUUUUUUGAGAAAGAAUUUUGCUUACUCAUACUACAGGCUACAGGGCCCAGGGGGAUCCAGUUACAUCAUGCCUUGUUAAAGAGUGGUAAAAAAAAGGAUGGAAAUCGAUGCAAGUAAAGUGUGGAGUAUACGUAGUAAUUUCAGGGACGGGAGAAAUUACGCGGAAGGGAAAGGAAUAAUGAGAUACUCCACUGCUGCCUGGCUGGUGGCCCUGGCUGCAUGCAUGUCUUUGAGAGGAAGCAAGCUACCGAUCGCUGGAAUGGAGCCCCUAAUGAAGCGUUGCCAAAACCAUACCGUGAUCUUUGGCUCCCUUCCACAACCCGCCGGAUCAUAAAUAGAUCAAUUAAUUAAUUGGAAAGGCGUAAAAACAGAGGGUGUGCAUCGCGACCGACCCUUGGGGUGGUGACAUUGCAGGGUUUUUUUUUUUUGAUCCAAUCCCAUGCGAUUAAUUUUGACGCGUACCGAAAGUCCCAAAAUCCCCCAAGCAACACCUACACAAACUCCACUCCACCGUCGGUCAGCAUGCAUGCGCUUUGUUUGCUUCCCGGGGCGCCUUCUGAGCAUCCCACCCAGCCUUGUUGGCACCUUCUCCUUGUUCCCACUUCCCACCCCUGCCCUGCUCUGCUCUGACCUUCCGUUUUCCAUCAUGUUAUAAAGGCCUUGUUUAGUUGACAAAAAUUUUGAAUUCUGAAUACUGUAGCACUUUCGUUUGUUUGUGGUAAAUAUUGUCCAAUUAUAGACUAAUUAGGGUCAAAAGAUUCAUCUCGCGAUUUACAGGCAAACUGUGUAAUUAGCUUUUAAUUUCGUUUAAAUUUAAUACUCCAUGCAUUUACCGCAAAUUUCGAUGGGACUGAGAAUCUUAAAAUUUUUUAGAACUAAACAAGGCCAAAGAUAACCCCUUGUUUAGUUUACCCUGAAAACCAAAAAGUUUUUAAGAUUCCCCGUCACAUCGAAUCUUGUGGCACAUGCAUGAAACAUUAAAUAUAGACAAAAACAAAAACUAAUUACACAGUUUAGCUUUAAAUAACGAGACGAAUCUUUUGAUACUAGUUAGUUUAUGAUUAGAUAAAAUUUAUCACAAACAAACGAAAGUGCUACAGUACCGAAAUUUUUUCACUUUUCGGAACUAAACAAGGCAUAAUAUUUUUUCUCUUAGAACAAAUUAAUAUCAACAAAACAAUCAGCUGCAGAAACGAUCAGUCACUCACACACUUGCUGCACGUAUGACGCACCAGCAUGGUUGGAGGUUGGAGCCAGUCAAGCGAAGGCCAGAAGGAAACCGGCCAACCGCACUUCCCAGUCGUGAUCCGAGCGGAAUGGGGGCUUAACAUGGAAAAAUCUAGCCUAUUUUAAGCUAGUCCAUAAAAAGGCAGAUUGACAGGCAUCGCCAUGGUGGAGAGAGUGGAGACAUCUUUCUUUAAUCAGAAAAUCCAAACCUGCUAGGAUUAUUGCUCCUAAUUCUUUGUAUUGACAGUAGUAGCCAACUAAAAUCCACAGAGCUGCUUGGUCAAAAUAAUAUAUACUAUAUCACACAGCUGGUUCAUAAAGUAGGGUGCGUGUACAAAUGAUCUGUAUAUAUGGUUGGAAAUAAAUACUUAAUUGUUGACUAAAAUUGAUCUUUGUGCCAUGCAUGGAAGACAAGGAAUUGGACCACGAGAUACAUUUCAUAUCCUUCAUACGACCAACAUUAAUUCAUAAUGUACUCAACAUAUAUACCUUUUUUUUCUUUAGAUAUCUUUUUCUUCGUCCUUCCAUUCUUUUUCCGGGUAGGAUACCAAGUAUUUAAGGAGAAUUUUCUGAGCCUGUCAUUUCAUAUUUUGCAUUUUUUUCUCAACACAAUGCACUAUAUUCUGUUCAUUUGAUCUUAUCUGUUAAAUCUGCAUGUUUUCGUAGUGUUUUUCUCUUAAAAAAAAUCAGCAAACGGUAAUUUCAGUCAUAACUUUUGCUAUAUAUAUUUUUCUUGCCCAUCCUCCUCUUAAAACUAAUGUUUCUGAUAUUCCAAAAAUAUAUAGUCGUGCUCUCAAAAUCGCAAUAACCAAUUUGCUUAAAAAAGAAAUGCAAUAAGCAAAGGAUACGAGGAGCCCCACAGAAACACAAAAGAUAUAGGAGGAAAUCAAAAGGGAAUAAAUGUGGGGGAAGCUUGGCAGUUCCGCUAUAUUCUAACUCCCCCACGGAGGCAGGGGGGCAGGGCAGUUCUCUCUCGCUCGCUCGUCUCCUCCAAGAGCUCGUAUUUUUAGCUCUCCCGAGCUCUCUCCCAUCAAGCUCUCCAAGCUCUCCCUCGCCAUGGCCAAGAACACAUGCAAGCUAUGCUCCCGCCGCUUCGCCAGCCCGCGCGCCCUCGCCGGCCACAUGCGCGCCCACUCCGUUGCCGCCGCUAAGUCGCAGAUCUCCUCGGCGUCGUCGGCUUCGACCUCCAUCGCGGCCGGCGGCGGCAUCGACGACGACGCUGCCGACGCAAAGAAGAAGCCCAGCCCCAUCCAGGGGGGGCACGUGCUGCGGGAGAAGAAUCCCAAGCGCCGCGUCCGCCUCGACGACGACUCCGACUUCUCGGAUCGCGAGAGCGAGACGACGGACUACUACUCCCCGGCGUCGCCGGACGCCAAGCGCUCGCACGCCGGAUCGGGGGACGCGGAGCCGGUGAGCUCGGUCUCCGACGCGGCCACGCCGGAGGAGGACGUCGCGCUGUCCCUGAUGAUGCUCUCCCGCGACUCCUGGCCCGCGCCGCCGCCGUCGCCGUACCCGUACCCGUUCCGCCUCGACUCCGACGACGACGACGACGACGCCCGCCGCGUGGUGGCCGCCGCCACCGCCGCCGCCGCCGCGGCGCAGCAGAAGCGGACGCGGUACGAGUGCCCCGCGUGCAAGAAGGUGUUCCGAUCGUACCAGGCCCUCGGGGGCCACCGUGCCAGCAACGUGCGCGGCGGCAGGGGCGGCUGCUGCGCGCCGCCGCUCAGCACUCCUCCGCCUCCCGGCCCGGCCCCGCUGCAGCCAUUGCCAGAAUGCGAGGGCAGCGAGGAGGACUCCAAGGCGCAGCAGCCGCACGAGUGCCCCUACUGCUUCCGCGUGUUCCCGUCCGGGCAAGCUCUCGGCGGCCACAAGCGGUCUCACCUCUGCUCGGCUGCGGCGGCGGCAGCAGCAGCAGCCGUCACAUCAAGCGCUGAUCCUUCGUCGAUCACAAUGAAGAGCCUGGAUUUCAUUGAUCUGAACCUCCCCGCGCCCUUCGACGACGUGGAAGUCUCCGCCUUUUCAGAUCCCUUCCUCUCGUCCAAGCCAGCAGGUUCUUGAAAGAGUGCUAGCAGAGCAAGCAAGCCGGCCGCCCGCUCGCCUUUCGGCUGAUUCCAGUGGAGACGAUUCGAGGUAAGGAUCAUCAGAGACAGAAAGAAAAAGACUUACUGAUUAACGAAGAGCAGUAAGGAAAGUAGAGAAACUUAUGAUAAAAAAAUUGGAGACAUCUUUGCUUGGGUUAGGAUGUUCGUUUUUUUCUUAGUAAAGUAUAUUUGUUCGUGUGCAUUGAUUCAGUCAGCUACAAUAUCUCUGUAGUCCUCCAUUUCGUUCUGUCUCUUUGUUUGUUUCAAGCCAUGGAAUGGGGCAGCUAACAGAGCUAGCUAUAGUUCUUGAAUUCUCAUCUGAAUGAAUCAAGAAAAUCCAAAAAGGAGAGCCAGCAGGGAAGAAAUACUCUAGCUGAAGCGUUGCUUUCUGUUGCAGUCUCCAGCUGUGCUCGUUCCAACUGUCCAUAGCAGGGAGAGCUUGGCAAAGCCAGCCGACCCAAGGCAAUCGCAGUCAUUAGCCGGUAGCCAAAAAACACCAGCAUCGAACUGGCGAUACCAAUGCAGGAUCGUCGGCCUGACGUUCAUGUUUAGUUUGUUGCAGAAACUGAAACUCCGCUGCUCUGCUUGCUCUCUUCCCCUCUCUAUCCGACUAUCCGUCCGCAUUGCUGUUGCCUGCCUGCUGGAGUGCUGGAUGCUGCCGCCCACCACCACCACCACCAUCCACCACAGCACCACCCGCAUCUGCCGAUGCAUCCUUCCUUCCCUUCUCCUGCUGCUGCCACUGCCAGGACCAGCAGCAGGCAGCGAAAAGGCUAGGGAUGAACAGUUGCCCACUGUGCCCAGGCAGGCCAUUUUUGUUCUCCGUCCCUUGCUCUCGCUGCGCGGUGGCCCCCCUCCCCCACGCUUGCCCGGCACGAGCAUAAUGCAUCCCAACAGAUUGUCCGUCGCAGCAGCUAAUGCAGUUUUGAAUGAAUAAUUAUAUGUGUGUGUAUAAAUACGUCAGAUACGGAUCCAGAUAUACCUCGGAUGUCACUGUAGGUGUGCUACCUACGAGUACUAUACGAGAUUGUUGGCUGGUUGGUUCGAUGCGAUCUGUCCAACGAGUUGGUUAGAGGCUGAAACGAUUUUUACAGGCGCUGCUCCUCCUGCUCUCCUCCACGUUCGGCGGGAGCGCCGGGAGGUGGUUAUAUGCAUGGCCCACCACAACGCACGUCCACGUGGCACCCGUCUCUCUCAAGCCAAGCCAUGACUCAUGAGCCAUCAAACCGUCGUCGUCAUCAUCCCUUUUCUCUCCCCUCCCUCCAACCCUACGCUUGGUUUGCAUCGGGCUGGUCUCAGGUCACUAGUAACGUCGCUUGUUGAUUCUGGGAUUAACGCGUGGUUAAAAGAGAAUGUGGUAUUAUUAUUAUUAUUAUUAAUUAAUACUCCCUCCGUCUCAAAUUAUAAGUCAUUCCAAGAAUCUUUGAGAGUCAAAGUUUUUCAAGUUUGACCAAAUUUAUAUAGCAAAAUAAUAACAUUUUUGGUACCAACCAAGUAUCAUUAGAUUCUUUGUUAGUUAUAUUUUCAUAGUGCACCUAUUUUAUGAUAUAAAUCUUUAUAUUUCUAUCUAUAUUUUUGGUCAAACUCUCCAAGAUUUUUGGAAUGACUUAUAAUUUAGAACGGAGGGAGGAGGGAGUACUACUACAACAAAAUGGGCCUGUACUGUUACCAUACCUGGAGCGCGGAGCCCGAGGCGGAUCUCGCGGGCGAAUUAAUCGGUUGGUUCACGACGCAGCCAAGGGGGGAACCGGCUAUGACACGUGGGCCCUCCCUUGCCCCCGGCCGACCCGCCGCGGCCUACUACGGUGUGCGCUUCUGUGUGCCGGUAGCAUGUUGGACAGGAGGCGGAAAGCCGCUUGCGGUGGGGACGGGACACGGCCCCGGAAUGCCCCCACGUGGCGGCGGAGCAAGAGAUCAGAGAUGGACGGCUGGGAUUUGUUCACGGUUGGAGCCCCCCUGGCUGAAUCGGUUUCAUGGAUUCCUGCCCUGCCCGGUGAGAAUCGUUCGUUGAUCACUUGAUCCAUCGAUCGAUCGGUCUCCUGCUUCCGUUCCUUGAUGAUGAAAUUAUUAUGUUGGCAAAAGUGGUAGUCCUACGAGAACUGUUUCCCCGAGCUUCACUAGUGAACAAGUAGGAGUACAGUAGUAUGCUCUGAAACGGAACCAAAAGAGGCUCUGAAAAGUAUGCUCACUAUUCUCUACAACAAAAAGUACGCUCACUACUAAUGACAAGAAACAUAUAAAAUGAUCUCAAACAUAUACUACGGCGUGAGCUGCAGUGCAGCAAAACACAGGCACAGCAUUGUCAUCUGGCUUAACUUUUGCUGGUGUCGGGGUCACUGAACGCGAGACUUCCGUGACGAGCUCGCAGUCGCGAGACCCAUCCUCCCCGUUCCCCCCAGCGUCUUCACGCUGCGGCCGUCCCAUCCCGGCUGCGGGCUUCGCUUUGGACCGGUCUUCGCAUCGCACUGCCCGUCUACAGCUGCCGCAGAAAAUUACUGGUACCGGUAGCUUUUGUCCUGUGGCCCUGUGCCGCUAGCAGGAGCGUAAGCAUAUACACAGGCACGUACUGUACUAUAGUAGGCUGCGGCGUAAUCACAUUUUCACUUGACAGUCGCAACGACAUCUACUGGUUACUGUCACGCUUUGUAGAUAUCGCCGUAUGGUAUUGGUAUCGUUGGCACGGCCACAGGCAGAUAUAUAAGACUACAUACAGGCUUACAGCGACGGUCCAUUAACCCGAUGAUGAUCGACGCAGCUGCCGGGGGACUAUUCUUCGCACCUGAGAGCUGCAGCAGCAGGUAACGGCGAUCGGCGAGUGGGGCAACAGUUUGGCUGGUAGCGUCGACGCGUGGGCGCACUGCUGGUGACUGACUAGUGACUACUGACGCCACACCACCGCAAAUAAACUGGGGUCGCUUUCUUGGCACAGUGAGUGCUUUGCGCAGGUUAACCACUGUCCGUUUGCGCUUAAACUCUCCUCCGUCUUUCCACUCACCAGCACUGUUCGUGCGCGCGUCGCUGCUGCACUGUUCAUCGCCACGGUACGCGUACGCGGUUUCUACAGCGCUGAGAAGGAGGACACCCCAACUCUGCGGAGGAUGCAUAGAGCUGUACUUGUACUACAUCUCCCGAAGUUUGCUUUGGAAAUAGCCUUUGCAACCAGCCAAGCCAUUCAUUCAUUCAUGCAUGGUUAGCUCCUGCACUGUAUACCCACUAUCGCAUCGCAUGACAGGCAUGAGCAAUCAUGGACUUGUCUUCUGAAAAGCCGAGGUUUUGCUGAAUUGAAUGGCAGUAGCGUACGUAUAGGUUGUAUGCAUGGAUGGAAGAGCAGGGGGCAUGCAUUGCGCACACAUGUAUACGAGAUGAGUACAUUGAUGGGGCGGGUUUGUUCCUCCGUGGAGCACACAGGGCAGGGCCGUUCACAUGGUAGGUGACCACCCCGCCGCAAGGAGUGAAGGGGGGCGCAUGGUACCCUGUCAUGCGUUUGCUGUCUCGCAAUUAGAACGGCAUCGGCGUGGCGUAUUGGCACGGCGCACCAACAGCAUCUUCCUCUGCCUUUUCCCCCCUCCUUGGCUCUCUCGCUCACUCGACUGAUUUGAUGGAGCCAAUGCUGAUUCCGGAGUCCGGACACGGAGCAAGCAAUCAAAGCAACGGUUGGUUUGUUUACCACGACAAUGACAGCAGGGGGUAUUUUUUGUUUCUGCCUGAGACAUUGCCUGAUUGCCAUGUCUCUGCCAGAGUAAUAACCGCUGCAAGUUUGUAAGCUCCGGCCUGCGCCAGGGAGGCUUUUGCCGUCGCUUUUGCGAGAAGAGACAUUUGGAGAUAUCAUCAUCUCGAUCGACAUCUCAGUAAUGUGACAGAAACUACCUUCCUUGGUCAGGGAAAAAGAAAACAACACUAGACGAUGCUGCAACACACAGCUAGCGUUACUUUCUUGUUCGUUCCCUUAACGUUGUUGCUGCUCAUCGAUCAGCUCAUGUACCCUUUUAUGCGUGCUGCCACAGCAUCAUAAGUGUGCCGGUCACGAGAGUUUAGUUGGUGCAGGGACAGGCCUUUGGACUGUUGAGGCGAGGGUGAGGGGGCUACUGUUAGUAGGGCUCGAUGGCACGCUGCGACGGUAGGAUUCUUGCUUGCUUCUGCAGCCAAAGAUGGUUCCUUCACUCUCCCAUCUCAUGAUCAGCCGGGGCAUAUUUUUAUUGCCAUCACAGUCACACCCACGAGAGGGGAAAAAGAUGAGCUAAAAAUUUGCAUUUGGGGACCUUUUGUUUGAAAAAACAAAACAUAAUACAAAGGUCCAAGGCGAAUGCCAAUUUGUGGGCAAGAGAAACCUUGGGCUGUAAGGCAUCAUAUAUAUGCCAGAUCCAGUGGCAUCAGAAUAAACAUUUUUUUUUUAAAAAAGAAGAAGCUUGGCUUCGAUAAUCCCAUUUAGUCUCCUGUUGCUAUAAGUAAAAAAGCAUCUCGAAUGGAUCUGAACUGUACUUCUUAGCAAAGCAGAUGCAAUAGCUCCCAUUUCAAAUACAUGCUUCUCAUCUCACAAGUCAGAACUCCAUUGUAAAAGUUUCUUUUUUUUUUACUUAGGUAAAGUAUCAGUGUAUUACUGUACUGGUGUGGCACGAGGCAGCAGAUUCUGGCACAAAGGGAGAAAACAUCAAUAGGGCGAUAGUGCUUUCGUCCAUUUGCAGCUGGUAAAAGAUGAAGGAAAAGAAACAUGGAUGCCUCUUUUCUCAAGUUGGUACUGACCGGUAAGGCUGUUGCCUAGGACCUAGCCUACAUGCGGUACCGCAUGACGAACGAACGAAGUGGUAGAGAUGCAUGUCAUGAAACUACAUGGAGAAUCGGUUAAUAUUGUUAGUUUCUUUUUUUUUUCACAAUGCCAGUAAGGGGCUUCGUCUAUUUCAGUUUCAGUACCACUGCGUGCCAAAUAAUUAAGAUCGAUUGAUGCAAGAUAGAGAAGGUAAAACAAAUCAAUGAUGUAACACAUUGAAAUAUUUUUUUUCUAUGGAAGUAAAUUGAAGUAAUUAAUCUGGUUAGAGGGUAGUGAAAAACCUCUUGGCCGAAUAUGGCAGGAGGACAAGAAAUAGCCUUAAAAUGGUGGAAUAUGGCACAUCAUAUGAGCUCAUUUGGUCCACACAAAAUACAGAAACAAAAUAGGCACCAUGCUUCAAAGAGAUAUAGCUUCCCACAAAAACAGGAAGCAUCUCCGUGAACGAAGAGCUGAAAAGGGAAGCUGGGGGAAGAAAGACAGAGAGAAUCAUUUCCCUUAGAAUCAGUUUUGUUUGUUUUUUGCUUGUCCAUUACCCUCGCUUCUACUGGCCCUUCCUGCUUUCACCCCCGUCUGCAUGAACUGACUCGGUGACCAGCUUUUGCUACUAGCUCAUGUAUAGGAGCUCUACUGCACUGGUUCUUUGCCGUAUCCCACUGUAGUGUGUCUGUACUUGGCAUUGGCAAUGAGCAUCAAAAGCGGCAUGUCAAGAAACGAAUGCAUGUGCCUCUACUGCUCUGCAUCACCUCCAUGGCUCCAUCCUUGGUCCCCUGAUGUGAUCAUCCCUUGUUCAUAAACCAGCUAGAGACGAGCGUGUGUGAGGACGGCCCCAGUAGCAGUGUUUCAGGUUGCAAACUAAAGUCUGAGCAGGAAAGAGCGGUUUGUGUACUGUACUGCACUGCACAGGCUAUCAUGUACUAGUACACUAGUACUGGAGUACCUACUAAAUGUUAUUAUACGUACAAGCAUGAAAGCAAGGAGUGGUACUCUUAAUUCAAAGCAUAAGCGUGAAAGCGUGAAACCAAACCAAACCAAAGCAGCUGUAUAAAAGCAUGAAUGUUACGUACAAGCAUGAAAGCCUACUAGUAGAUGCCUUUGUACAGCUGCUUUUGGUUUGGUUUCACUUUCAGUGACGCGAAAAGUGAAACGCAGGGCGUUCAGCGGUGAAAGAGACUCCAAGCUCGAUUGCUUGAGUGCAGCCAGGUUUACUCGCCACUCGCGUUGCUGUCUUACAACUCCAGCUGCCUAGUAACUGAUGAGUACAGUAACUGACAAUUGCAGGUUGCGAAUCAUGUGGGGGGGAGGGAGACGCCGUGAUCUAUACAGACGACGCGACGCGGCGACGGCGACGGCGAGGGAAGCCCAAGCCACUCUGAUCCGAUUCCGAUGGCCGUACUCGUAUGCCGGCGGCCCGCCGUGACCGUGACAUCUCGGUGUCGGGCCUGGCGGCUGCAUGUAUGCACGGCCCGUACGAAGUGGACGGCUGAUGGGCUUGCUCUCUCCUCUCCAGGACUCCAGCGGUUCGCCGGUGCGGGCUCCCAGCCUGCAGGCCCAUUUCGUAGCAGAGGAGUUUAUUUAGGCCCAGAGCCUCUCUGUUUGAGCCCAGAGCUGGGCGUGCGCAGGCCCAUGAUAAAGCAAGCGGACGUUCCACACAGCAGCCUGGUUGACACUAGAGCCUCUCUCGUGGGCUCGUGGCCCAAAGCCUGUAAUAAUACGAAUACGAGUAUACGAGAAUCCCCUCCACGCACCAGUCCAGGUCCAGCACACCGUUCCGUUCCCCCAUUCGCCGUUCCGCAUCUGUCCAUCUCUUCCCCCACCCACGCACUCAGUCACCGCCGGCGCCAAGCCGAUCUCCGACCACCGCAGCCAUGACUUCCGGCGCCGCGCUCCUCCUCCGCCCCACCUCCGCCACGACACACCCGCUCCUCCACCAAUCCAGCCCCAAACCAUACUUCCUCCGCCUACACCCGUCUUGCCGCCGCCGCCGCCUGCCCGUCCCGCGCCUGUCCCUCACGCCCACCACCGCCAGCAACAACUCUCCUCCCCCGCCGUCCCCUUCGGCCCCUCCGACCGCCCCCGCGGCCCCGCCUUCCCUGUUCUCCAACUGGUCCCCGCCGCGCGCGAUCUGGCGGGGGCUCUCGGCGCUGCUCCUCGCGGGCCAGGUCUUCCACCGCGUCCUCACGGGCCGCGUCCACCGCCGCAACCUCCUGGCGCAGCUCCGCCGGGUCGGGCCCGGGAGCGCGGGGGUCGCGCUCCUCACCGCCGCCUUCGUGGGCAUGGCCUUCACCAUCCAGUUCGUGCGCGAGUUCACCCGCCUCGGCCUCCACCGGUCCGUCGGCGGCGUCCUCGCCCUCGCCCUCGCGCGCGAGCUCUCGCCGGUCGUCACGGCCGUCGUCGCCGCUGGCCGCGUCGGCUCCGCGUUCGCCGCCGAGCUCGGCACCAUGCAGGUGUCGGAGCAGACCGACACCUUACGCGUCCUCGGCGCCCACCCCGUUGACUACCUCGUGGUCCCUCGCGUGCUCGCCUGCGUGCUUGCGCUCCCGGUCUUGACGCUGAUCAGCUUCGCGCUCGGCCUCGCGUCCUCGGCGUUCCUGGCCGAUUCUGUCUUUGGCGUCAGCGUCAGCAUCAUUUUGGAGUCGGCGCGCAGGGCGCUGCGGCCAUGGGACUUGAUCAGCUCCUUGCUGAAAUCUCAGGUGUUUGGUGCCAUUAUCGCGGUGGUGAGCUGUGCCUGGGGAGUCACAACCCAUGGAGGAGCCAAGGGCGUUGGCGAGUCUACAACAUCUGCCGUGGUUGUUUCCUUGGUUGGAAUCUUCGUUGCAGACUUUGCUCUCUCGUGCCUGUUCUUCCAGGGUGCUGGUGAUUCCCUCAAGUAUGCAAUGGGUUGAGGUGGGUCAUUGCAGAGGAAGUAUUUUGCUUUCUAGGAGAUAGCAUAGUCUUGUACAUUAACAAGAAUGGUGCACUGGAUUCCAAUAGGUGAACAUUGCAACAUCUGCCGCCGUCCAGGUGACAUGUAUCAUUUUUUUUUCCCUUGAUACCUACGAGAAAUCAUUUAGAGUGUUCUACCUUUGUUGUACUAAACUGUUGCUCAAUUAUUUGCCAGCGAUUCAUUAUAACCUUAUUCAUGAAGCUAUUGGUCGAAUUGAAUCAGUGUAACAUAUGAUGCUAAUAUAAGUACAAAGAAAGUAAGACUAAUGCUUCCUGCUUAAUGAAAUACGCGCCUCGGCGUGGUCUCAAAAAAAUAAGUACAAAGAAAAUGUUGGUACAAUCUGCUUAGGCAGCAAUGUGUAAAUACAAAUUUCUUGAGAGGUCUGCUGCUUUCAGAUUCAGAAAACAACAUUGAAAUCAUAUUGUUUACCAAUUGCAAUUGCAACAUAUACACAAGGGAAGCUCAUAUGCUCCUAUUUUAAGAAUAGUGCUUUCCUGCAAGUGCACAUAAUCUUGCAUCUUCAGCUUUCAGCGUCUAUGGAUGAACAGAAUUGCAAUAGUUUGUUAGAAACUCUAGAAAAUACAGUAGUUAGACAGCGUGGCCAUUGAGAUAAACAUCAGUGUCUCUGGGUUCCAAUAUGGAUUGCCAGGACUAAUGGAUGUAUAUAUGAGGUAUAUGAUGGGUAUAGUGACUAUAGUCAGCAGGAUAACAACAGUAGCACAAGAAGCUUGUUAGGGCAACAUCCUAGAUGACCAGAUACUUCAUCUUGAGCCUUUGUCCAUUUGGGCCAGUAAGAGCCGGGGUCGGCGCCCAACCCCAUGGAUCACCCCGGCCUGGAAAGGAUCCCGGCUCACAUGGAAACAAAUGUUUGGUUAAGCCCAGCGUGGGUUGUAACCUGGCCUACCCCGAUCUUUUUCCCUCACCCCGGCCUGGGAACGAAGCUCGGCCUCCAGUGGUGUGGGUGAAAUUCCUGUCGCAUGGGGAGAGGCUGUGGAGGCGAGAGCGCCUGGGUGAUGGUACGCAGUGGCAGUGGAGGCAGGGCAACGUAGACGCGGCAGAGCAACAAGACAGCGACACUCUUGCGUCCAGCGUCCACCCUUCUGGAAUCCACCUCCUUGCAGGUAAUCAUUGUGCUCUUUAUCGACUCCCUAGUGUUUUCUUGCAGUUCUUGAUUUGUAUCCUGACAUGAUCAGCGCCAUUGGCCUUGCACCGUCCUGUGGUGCUGGGUAACCUGUGUACACUACUGUUGAUGGUUCACAUUAACAACAGAUUCAGAGGCUCCACCUCCUUGUUUCUCUGCAUUUUUUUUUGUCUCAGAUAGAUGCUCUGUAAUUUAUUUUUUUAUGAUAAUUAGUUACUCUAAUUUUGGCAGUGCCUUAUGUUGUUUGGUCUGGGCUCUCAGCAUAAACUUAGGAAUAGACAUGACUGUUGAAUGAAGCAGUUUUAUUUCACUGAUAGAAAUAGACAUGAGAGUAAACUUAGAAAAAGAUAUUUUGUAUAUCCUUGAUUUUUUUUUAAAAAAAAAUCAUUGCUACCCCACGAGUGACUGCCAGUUUGUUUAAGCCCCGUGUGGACUGUAACUCGCCUACCCUGGCCUUUCCCCUCAUCCCCGCCUAGGAACGGAGGCCGACCUCAAGUGGUGUGGAAGAAAUCCCAUCGCAAGUGCAUGAAGAGGCUGCACUGCUGCAGGGGGACCAGGGGACAUGCGAAGCUGUGGCGGCAGCGAAGGCGUCACAGAUGGAGCGCUCUCGUCUCUGGCAUCCUCCAACAGCAGCCUUCUCACCAGUAAUCUUCUUCCAUCCUUUAGAUACGAAGACAAUAGCACAUGUUUUAUGUAUUGGCUAUCGACUGCAUAGAAGUGAAAUGGCUGUAGGUAUUAUCUAAAUCUUCUAUUGUCAUUUGUUGAUAGCCUUAUUGUCUUCUUGUUUCUGAGGUACACUGCAAUGACUUGAGAUUGUAUUUUCAAUUGGUUAUCUGCUAGACAUAUUAUACAGCACUUAGAAAACAUUGUUCAUUCUGAUUGUUUUAGACAUCUAACCUGAAUUAUUGUAUAUAUUUUUGUUCUUUUUAGUUGCGCCUCACUUUAAGUUUGAUAGUCGUGCAGCACUUAACAUUGUCUAUUUGAUUCAUAAUUGCUAGGUACUUGUCCAAGUGUUGCCUGUCGGUAUUAGUUUAAGUUAAAAGGGACCUCUGAUAUGAAAGAAUCUGAUAGCUUUUCUUUAUGCUUCUCUAUAUUUAUGUACCUCAAGUCCUCAACUUUAUAUCUCUUUGAUCUAAAUAAAUAUUUACCUCGGAGCUUUACAUCUGUAGAUGAAAAACAAGUUUGUGAGCUGCUCUCUGUUAUUUUGACAUAGUGCACUAUGUGAUGAUUUGUGAUAGUCUAUGGCUAGCUGGUGAUUACAAUUCAGAACUCCUUUCCUUACCUGUGUGCAGAGAUAUAGAAGCUCCCAAGCCCCCAAACCCAGCACAGAGAUCAUCUUCCUCUGCAGCUAUGAGAAUUAUGGCAAGACCUUUCUUGAUGUCAGCACGCCCCGCAAGCAUGCUCAGGUUCACAACGAGGAGCAGUAUACCUGCAAUGAGCCCAACUAUUGGAAGGUAUUUGCUCCUGGUACUAGCAUGAGUACCACACAUACCUUUUGUUUGUUAUUGCAAUAUGAACUUGAGCUUUAGUGUACUUAUGACUUAUCUGCUCUCAAACAGAAAACAUCUCGAAAUGUUCUUGUUUAUAUUGACUGAAUAUGUCUACCUCUUCCUAUUCCUUAUAUGCCGUCUGUACCUGUCCAAUCUUUAUCCUGAGUUCCUGAAUAUGUGCUUCUGCACCAAGCCCCCCAAAAAAACUCCUGAUUGAUCCAGAUAAUAUGUUUUCUUGAUAGUAUGCGUUGGCUGCAUAGCACAUUAGCAAUGUUGCAUUAGUAAAGCUCUCAGUAUUUUAUGAUGCAUAUCUGUGGUUUAGGAUUAUCCACAAUGAUUGUAGCAUUACUCAUUAACCGACUCAUGUUUUUUUCCGUUUUCUACUAUUACAUGUACACUUGAAAAUUAGCAACAAUGUCCAUUUAUUAUUGUAUUAUUGCCUCACAUUAUUUUUUGCUGCAAUCCAUUCCUUUGUCUCAUGGUGUUACGGGGUGGAGAAAGCAAUCGUAUCAGAGAAAGAGGAAGUCAAUUCACAUACUGCCAGUUGAGUCAUCUUUAGGCUUGAUGUUGGUUGCUCUUGAAGGCAACGUGCCUGUUGAUACAUCAUACAUAUUCUGCGCAGUUCCAGUAUAUCUGAUCAUUUCUGGAUGUAAUUUUUUGUCGAUUUGUGUUCUUUUAUUUGGCCUGCAUCAAAUUUGUGUUUAAUUCGAACAAAGAAGGAUCAUAUGUAUUGAGAAUUGUAUGACUAGCACGUUUAAUUUUUUGGAGAGAGAUAGUUAUGUGUUUUAUGUUUAAACUUGUGGAGCAACCACAGGGUUUGAAUCCCUG